UCAAGAUAUGCUUGAGAGCAUAUACAAGGCUAUGAAAUAAAAUCGCUAGUUGUCAAGCAUGAGUGAGCGAGUGAUAAAUAUUCGCUGACAAGAAAGAAUUGGGUGUCUUGCAAGCACUUUAGCCAUUAGUGUGUGCGUCCACACACACACACACACAUAUAUAUACGUAUGUGUAUAUAUAUGUAUGCAUACACACACACAUAGCUAUAUAUUAAGGAAAAAGAUAGGAGGGUGGGCAAAGCCCAAGUGACAUUUGCCCCCCACCUUCCCCAAGGAUUUGACUCGGGUGGCCAGUCAAAGAAAACUGCUUAAACACUCGGCCAAGCCUCCAGGCCAUUCGUAUACAAGAAUCACUUUUUAAUAAUAAUGAAAAUACAAGAAUGUGUAAUUCAAUAUUAUUGCUUAGGAGCUAUUACUGUGACUGUAUAAGCAUUAAAAAAAAUCAUGAUAUAAAACGAAGCAAUGAUGUAAAACUUGCACAAAAGUGGACUUGAGAAAACAGAGUGAUUUACCAAAUAGGGGCUUGAUUCUUCGCUAGAUAGAGUAGAUUCGAGCCGGGAACUACCGACGUAGCCACCGAAUCCGACGGCUACUCCAGCUGAAGCCGACGGCAGCAGCGAAGCAGCGAGACUGAAAAAUUCAAUUAAAUAAAAUAAAAAUAAAUAAAUUUACAUGACUGCUGUAAUUAAUUAAUUAAUUAAUACGUAAUGAGAAACAGAGAAGAACGAAUUAAAAAAAAUUACCUGCUGCUUGAAGGACGAGCCUUGGCUCUACCUCCAUCUCCUUUCUGUUUCCCCAUUCUGUUUUCUCAUAAACAAAAACGCAGUCGUUUUUGUAACCACAGAGAGAGAGAGAGACGGCGAAGACCGGGGAGUCUGCAGCGAAAUUGAAUUGAAAGGCCGGUGGUCUGAAUUAGGAGGUUAAAACUUUUUCUCCAGUACAGAAGGGUACACAGUUGGAAAACAAAUACCAAUUACAUCUUGCUACGUCAGAGAAUCUAGUAGGCACGCCGUACGUCGUUUAUGUUCGGUAAUUUUUAGAGACCUCCCCUAAGGUUUGGAUAAUUAACACUUAAAUAGAAUAUAUUAAUGUAAUUAUAGACACCUUUCCUGUCGUUAAUUACUAGUUAGCUUGAUCGUUAGUGGACUGCAUAAAUUAUAAAAAUAUACUUGCCGCCAAAAUAAUUAAUUAUUAAAUAAAGCUUUGAGAGCCAUGGGUAAUAAAAUCCACGCUAGAAUCACUGAAACAUCUAAAAAAAACAAAUUACCCAUCUAUGUAAAGUAAUUGACAUUGCUAAUUAAUCAAAAAUUACUUAAAACUGAAACAAAGUCGUCGUUUUUACUGUUGUAAAUAAACAAUAAUAUUUGGAGCAGCAGGAUCUAUAAAUGGAGGCUUUCCAAGUCAACAAAUUACCAUAACACAGUUUCUUCUUCAUCUUCUUAAGAAAUAUUUGCAUUUGUUUCAAACUUUUCAUCCAUUCAACUCGUUGACAGAAGCAUUCAACUUAAUCAAAAUCAAAUAUUGUCUCAAUCGUAUGGAUUCCCAAAUCUCAAAUACAUCUAACCAAUUAAACAUGCAAAAAGUUUAUGAGCCAGCUCGGAGGAACAUUUUUAAUGGUGACUUGUUAGGUUUUCAAACUGAAUCCACAAAUGUCAUAGGAGAGCUAAAAUGAUGAAAUCUGAAUUGGAUGAUAAUCCUCACGGACUUUAUUAUAGAUGCCUGAGCAAAACUGUUUAUGGAUACUUCAAAUGGUGGCUCUAAAAAUGGAUUAUUUCAACAAUUGAGCUAUGUUUAAAGGGAAUUUGGGUACAAUUGUGGAUUGUGGUAACUUUAAUGUAAGAAAAGCAAAUGUGAAGGAAGUACAGACUAUUACGAAGAAGCUACAAAAGUCAGGAUUUGGAGAAGAGGAGGUGAAGAUGAUAAUGUACUUAAAUCUAGCUAUAUUUAUGCUCAAUUUAGCGAGCAAGAAGCAAUAUGCCUAGUGCGAUUUUUAAAAACCUCCUCUAAAAUUUGAGGUUGUUGCAAGUAAAUGACCAAAAUUGUUUUAUUUGGCAAAAAAAAAAAUUUUGCUCUGUUUGGUUGCCAUUUAGGUAGUUGGGGACAUUGUUGACAUUUCACAAUAUUGCCAAAGAUUUUGCAAGCUUUUUUUUGCCUUGAGCACAAUGGUUUGCCUUUUUAGUUACUGUGUUCUGACGCAAAUAAAUACCCAAACUUGCAAAAAGAAGCUUAGUUUCAAAAUUGUUCGGAACCUAGUUUUAAUUUUAUAAUAAUACUCAACUGCUCUCUCGUUCAAGCUCAUUUAAGCCUCCAGUUCAAUUGAGUCUACUUACUGUGCUUUCUUCCUAAUCUUCAUUUCUGCAAAGUUAUUUUACUUGUUGUUUAAGCAAAUGACCAUCCUUAUUGUCCAUAAUGUAUCGCAGUGAGUUUUGCCGGUGACCCACAAGCACGAACCUUUAUGUUGAAUCGAAUCAUAUGUGAGCUUUUUGACCUCUAUUGCACCUUCUCUACAUACACACAACUUAUUCACUUUAAGGCCACAAAAGAACACAAUAGCACAUAGAGUUAGAAAAAUGACAUUACCACACAGUAUUACCUUCAUUACAUUAGAUUUCAGUCCACUAGUUUCAGACUUGUUCACCAUUCUCUUAACCUCAGGAACCCCUCUUAGAAUGUCUUCAAGCAUCACAUGCAUUUGCAACAGUGCCUUUGUGGACUCUAUCCACUCUAAAGCCUUCAGGUAAUGCAACAUUAUUGAGAUCAAUUAGUAAUGUAUACCUCCACCUCAAAUAGCCAUAUUAAUUGAAAGGGCAACAGUAGAAUAACUAGUUAGGAUUAUCUUUGAACUCUGAUAUGCACAUAGCAGCACAAAACUUUGCAUCUACACUUCUUGUUUGGUUUCUUGUUUGGUGAACUUCAUCAGAUUUCCAUUUGGCUUAGAUCUCUGCACCUUGUGAUGCUUUUGUUAUUCAUGCUACUACUUACUUCAUUUGUGCAUCCAGAAGCCAUUAAGAUGAGAAAUGCAAACUGUUUGUUUAAGUAUUGUAUGUCAGCUUUAAAUUGAUAUACAAGCUUUUAAAUAGGUACUAAGAGCCAACAAUCAUAAUGCAAAAUAACUAUAUAUUCUUUUUAAGUUUGUAAUUUUAUCUUUUUUAGGAUUUUAAGGAAAUAUAAAUAAUUUAAUGAGGAUAAAUAGUCAUUUUAGUUAGUUAUGACAUUGUAAAUCUUUAGAAUUUGUAAGGGCAAAAAUGUCAAAAAAAUGGAAUUGUGAUUUUUUUGCGCCAAGAAUCUCAACUUUUUUUUUAAUUGUGUCAGUCUAUAAAAUGUCACAAGAGACAAUAUUCUCUUUUUAAAGUUAACUAGCAGUCAAUGAAAAAUUUAAUUGAUGGUAAUGGAUUUUUUACGAAUAAAACAAUAUUGGUCAUCUACUUACAACAACCUCAAACCUCGGCAGAGGUUUUUAAAAAUUACUCAAUAUGCCUAAGAAAUACUAGGUAUGAAAGAUGCAUUAUAGUGCAAAAUCUAGUAUUUUUAUUAUAUAAUAUACUGAUGGAAAAGAAAUAUAAUGCAUGUGUAAUCCAAUGUUUGAAAUCAAGGUAGUAAAAUGAAUUUGAAAUUUUGGCCUGAUCAGAACACCGCGAAAAAAUUAUGAGUAAUGAUAUAGCCACAAACUCUUGUACAAAUUUAUUUUGUACAAAUUUAUUUUGUACAAACUUAUGUGGCAUGAUAAGAUUUGUUGAAUUAAAUAUCACUUGGCCCACAUGAUUUGUUUUCAUUAUUUUAUAUUUUCAUUCAACCAAUAAAUUAGUGCCAUGUCAGUUUGUACAAAAUAAGUUUGUACAAUAGUUUGUGGCUGUAUCAUUACUCAAAAAUUAUAUGCUGGUUGUUUGAACUCCGGAAUGUUUAAGAAAAUUAUUAGUUCACUGAUAAAAAUUAUUGAUUCACCAUUUGGACUCCAGAAUAUUAUAGAAAAUUAUUGGUUCAUCAUUUGGACUCCAGAACAUUUCAAGAAGUUAUUGGUUCGCCACCAACCCAAUUUUUCAUAUUUUCUAAAUUUAUAGUUUAGCCUUAAAACUUUCAAAAUUUUAUAUUGGCCUAAAAUGUUAUAAAACUUUUCAAAUAAGCCCUCACUAGGAUUUUAAACAAUACUUGUUGAUUUCAAAGUUUGUAAAACUUUUUCAAUUUAGUCCAUAAAUUUGAAAAACAACAUUUUCUUAAGAUCAUUUUCCUUUAGGUACAAGGCCUUUAUAUUUUGAAAAUAAUGAUGAAUUUAAAAUGUUAUGAAAAUAAUUUGAGUUUUUAGAUGCUUAAUAUGCAUACAUCUAAUCAUACUAGUUUUUCAAAUUGAUAGUAUCACAACAAGAACACAAGUCCCUACUUAAACUAAUUCUUCAAUGCCAUAAAAUAUUCAAUUCAUAAUCAACAAACUAAAAUAAAGAAGGAAUUGAGUAAUAAAACAAGGUAAAACCCAUAAUUUUUGGCUAUUUAAUUUUUAAAUUCGUAUGCAUUUGAGCAAUAUUAAGAGCAUCAUAUGUCAUUAAUGACUAAAUUCCAUCAGCAGUACAAAUAACAAUAGCCAAUAUUUAGAGUCUCAACAAGUCAUCAACUAUAAUAUUAACUGGAUAUGACAAAAACAAACAAGGCAUACAUGGCCUCAGUAAGAGUACGAGUUUGUAUGUACCACACAACCACAAAAUGUACAAAAACUCUUACAUAUAUCUACGCCUGAGUGAUAAAAAGAUGUUACAACAUCUUUUCAUAGCAAUGUUGUCACUUAACUAAUCCCUUAAAAGAAUUUCUUAGAAAAGAUUAGCUUGACUUUUGCUAUUUUUAUUCUAUAAUUAUAAAACGAACAAGGCAUACAUGGCCUCAGUAAGAGUGUGAGUUUGUAUGUACCACACAACCACAAAAUGUACAAAAACUCUUACCUAUAUCUACGCCUGAGUGAUAAAAAGAUGUUACAACAUCUUUUCAUAGCAAUGUUGUCACUUAACUAAUCCCUUAAAAGAAUUUCUUAGAAAAGAUUAGCUUGACUUUUGCUAUUUUUAUUCUAUAAUUAUAAAACGACGUUUCUAAUGUCAUUGGAUGCUUUAACUCAACAUUGGUCAUCUUGAGUAAGUUGUCCUUCAUGAUCAAAGAAAAUAAAUUAAAAUGUAACAUAUUUUUUGGAACUACAGCACAAGUAAAACAAACCGGUGGUGUAAUUAAACUUUACAUAUUCAUUAAUUUCAAAAUAAACCAGACACAAAGUGCUUACUAUUUUCAUAGACACUGUUCUAAGUGUUAUAAUAAGACUAAUUAUGGUAGCAUCUUUAUUCUUAAAGCUGGAUAUCUCUCAUCAAUCCUACAUAUAGAUAAUUAGAUUAUGUAUUAGUUCUUCAACAAAACACCCCAUAGCUCUAUUUCUUUUAAAAUAGUUGUUUUUCAUCAUCAUCUUUUUUACCCUUAGUUUGGGGCUUACCAACAUCUCUAAUAAUAAUUGGUGGCAAUAAGUUAUUAUGCAAGAGUAAUGACCAUCUACUUUCUUCUAGCACAAGAUGUGAGUAGUGAUGAUAGGCAUUCUUGAAUGCAAUUUUCUUCAACAGAUGAUGGACAUAUGACUUCAAAGGAUUUGUUGUACCCAAAUAUAAUAGAUAAUGCUCUCGAUUUAGCCAUUGCUUCUAAUACUCUCCUCUUAACAAGUGGAGGCAGCUGAUCUUGCCAUGUUUUUACCGGCUCAUGUCUUUUAUAUACAAAGAUCAUAAUCUUCUUUCUAAUCGCCUCAAGAAUUCUUACUAUUGGCAUACCUUUGAAGUUACUUAUCUAAUUAUUGAUGGACCCGGUCAUAUUAUUUGUGAUAUGUGAGCAAUUAGUUUGUAUAGGGAAGCAAUGUUUGGCCCAACAUCUCAAAGGAAUUUGUAAUAACCACCUGGAAGCAACAUGGCUACUAUUAUUAAGUUCAACGAUAAAGCUGUUGAAAUCCAUUUGGUUUCUAUUUCUAUAUGCUACCCAAAAUUCUUUUUUAAGUAAGAUUCCUAGAAAUUUUUACUUGAAGUUUGCAUAUAUGUGCCCGUAACAAUGCCUUCUCAUAGCUUAAAGAAAAGUCAUAUCAAGUGCAUUCAAUAUAUCUUUUUGUCUAUCACUUAUGAAGUACAAACCCUCCCCAUUUACAGCCUAUCUAAUCAUAUAGUUUCUUUAUAAACUAAAGCCAAAACUUAGUGUUUUCAAUUUCUACAAUAUUUAUGCCAUAGUUGGCACAUGUCCCAUUGUCUGUCUCACUUAUUCUGGACUUCAUUUUUUAUCGAUUUUUCUGUGUUUUCAAUGAUUUUUCUUCAUCACUCAACUCAAACUAAGUACUUUAAGAAAUCACAUUGUUUUAUGAAUGAAAAAUAAUAACAUUUGCAACAAAACCCACUUUAAUUUCGAACUUAGUUGAUAAAAUCAAUAGAUUAAAGGUUUAUAUUGUGUAAGAACAUAAAUUUAUUUUAAGAAGCUCUCCAAUUGAUGAUUAUAUUUUCAAUUAUGCAAUGUUUGUUUGAUGAAAUUUGUUGAUUUAUUGAGAGUGAUGAAGUUUGUUGAAAGUGAUGAAUGUUUGUUAAAUUGUUUAGAGUUGAGAGCAUUAUAGUUGUAUUAGAUUUUAUCGAGUGGCAUGCAUUUGUAAAUUUGAUGAAAAUGGUAAGGGUAAUUUAGUCCAAAAAAUAAGGCGUUUGGCUAGUUAUGAUAGAAAAAAAAUUAGGUGGGUUAAAUUAAAAAAUGACAAAAGUUUUAAGGCUAUUCUUGUAAAUUUUCCUUGCACGAUUCUGGCCCCAAAAAGAUAAAAACUUAUGCGACAACUAAUAAUACCUAGAACCCAAUUGGAAUUGUUUUUGGAAUGCUCAAAAUUUACUUUUAAAAAAUAAAAAACUAAUUUUACUAUUUAGUAAUUGUUUUUAAAAAUUAAUUUUUACAAAAUCACUUCAUUUUAUAGCAAAUUUUAAGAAGCAAAAAAAGAAUAGUUUUCAAAUUUUGAUUUUGAAAAUCAAUUUUAUACUUAAUACAAUUCUAUAUAAAUUAUCAUAUAUAUUAUAAAAAUCUAAAAUUACUCUUAUUAAUUAGGAAAUAAAAUCAUUAACUUUAAAGAUUAUUAUUAUUAACAAUUAUAUUCAGAUAACAAAAUAAAAAAUAAAAAUAAAAUUAAUAAUAUAAAAUAUUUAUUGUAGCUAUCAAUUAUUACAUAUACAGAAUAAAAAAUAUUUUAUAUACAUGUUUAUAAAUGUAUAAAUAAAUUUCAUCCAACAUUAUAUCAAAUUCAGUUAUUUACAUUUAUUUUUACAAUAGUUUAACAAUAAAAUUUACUAAAUAUAUACUAUUAUUUUUAAAAUUUACAACACUUUUAAAAAUAAAUUUUACCAAAUGUUUAACUUAUUUUAAUAGAUGAUUAUUUCUAUAAUACAGAUAAUCGCAAUUAUUCUAAAAUUUACAGCAUUACCAAACUAACCCUUAGGUAGUAAUUUAAAUUGCCUUUCUACAACUUAUGGAUGGAACCCUAACAUAUUGAGAUUUUAAAAAUACAUAUUCCUAGUAAAAUUCACUGGUUUCUGCAUUUUCCAAUUCAAUUGUCAAUUAGGUCUAAAAUUUGCACUUGUUCCACCUUCCGAACAGCUUUUUUUGCUUAAAUCAUAAGAGUAAUGAUAUAGCCACACUCUUGUACAAACUUAUUUUGUACAAACUGACGUGGCAUUAAUUCAUUGGUUGAAUGAAAAUAUAAAAUAAUAAAAACAAAUCAUGUGGGCCAAGUGAUAUUUAAUUCAACCAAUCUUAUCAUGCCACAUCAAUUUGUACAAAAUAAAUUUGUACAAGAGUUUGUGGUUAUGUCAUUACUCAAAUCAUAAUGCGAGGGACUACUUGAUACGCGAUAAAUCUAUGAAGCUAACUCAUAUUUUACCCAAACUUGAACUUAUUGCAAGUUUGAGACCCCCACCCGAUACACAGAGCUCAGCUAGAUACAUGGAACGAAUAUGAGCCUUCAGAGCAUUGCAAAUUUUGAAAUGGCAAAAUACAAUACAAAAGCAGAUACAUUUCCUUUCUCGCUGGUGUGCAUAUGGAGACCAGGAGAAAGGAAUGAUGAAAUAAUUUUAUUAGUCUAAGAAAAUAACCACCAAAGCCACAAUUACAGCAGGUUCAAUAGACGUGGGAAAAAUGGUUAGUCGAAAUUUAUUUCUUCUCACAUAAAUCUGCUGAAGCUUGUACAUGAGACUAGUCUGCAUCAAAUUGAUCAGUGACAGCAAUGAGAUUUAUUUUGAUAAAUAAUACAUGACAAGGACAGUGAGAGAACAAACUAUACAUUAGCUCAAGGUUCGGAACAUUUAACCCAUAAUAUCAAUUUACCAUCCUAAUUUAUGGUAUAAAAUCUCUAUCAUGAAGGAAAGUUAAUUUUGCUAAUAAGCUUGCACAAAGGAUGAAAGAAAAAAAAGCAUCCACUGAGAAAUUAAUCUGAUUAGGCUUUAGAUAGAUCUAUUUGUUCUAAGUAAUUAGCAGAACAAAGACCAAACCAUCAAGGCAUUUACAGGGUUCAAUUUGAAAGACCAACAACAAAGGGGCAAAAGCCACAAGUAACAAAAAGGAAAAAAAGUCCAUCUGUUUCAGCAGUUGUAGCCUGUUCAACAUAGAAAAACCAUGUUUUGUUGCUCUUGACUUGAAAACUUUAUAAUUCAGUUUCAGUUUCAUUUUAUCCCACCAACCAUGACAUAGUCUGAAAAAUUCAAUUCUCAUGCUUGAAUGAUGUUUCAUCAAAUCAAGCUACUUCAAAUGUGUAUGGAAAUCAAACAACAAGAGAAAUGAAAAAAAUGGAAUAAUUUUGGAAAUAUUGGCACUACUGCAGGUUUAGGUUUUCUCAUUCAACAUGGCCAAAUUCGUAUAACAUAAUGUUAUAAAACGUUGAUCAUACCUGAGCGAUUAUGGAAUUGCCUCUAUAGAUGGUGCAAGAUUUUUGAAAAGGGCUGCCUUUAAUUGUGAAAUGAGAGGCUGAGUCUUCAGAGUUUUCAUCGACAAUGAAUACCUCAAACUCAGUUCUUGUAAGUGUUUUCAUUGUCCUGUUCACUUUGAAUAUCAGCUCCUUCUCCUCACCAUCAUCUCCCUUAAAACCUUGCCACAAUCCCUUCUACAACCAGGAAAGAAAUCACAUUACUUGUGGUUUACUCUGAAAAAAUAAAUGACAACUAUAUUAGAAUCAGUGAAGUCUUACAAAAAGAAACAAAUUCAGAUGCAUGGACAGGCCUACUUAAGCAUGAAACAGGAGAGAAAGUCAAUCAUUUCAUGUCUUUAGUUUAUAUAAACACACAAUGGUCUGAGGGUCCGUUAGUAUUGAGGUGCUAUGGUGGUAAACAUAGCUCUUGAAUAAUAAUUUUGACAGAAUUAGUAAAGAUAUUAUAAGUAGUUCAUCAUAUUUAUAUGUGAGAUAAAAAUCAACUCAACUUCCACACCACAGUAACAAAUGUUUGCCAAAUACUGUAGCUUUUGAGGUACUAUUGGCCAAUCACAAUAAUAGGACAUCAAAAUGCAAUCAAAAUCCAAACUACACAUCUUUGGCAAUAACCAAACAUUCCAAUUUCACCAAAUUUAAGAUAUUUUUUUUUUUUUUUAAAAGCAUUGCCGCAAAGGGACAAAAUCAUGCUCAAAGGGUUAUAUUUUACCAAUUGAACCAACUAUCACCCCUAAAAGACUAUCACACUUUCAUAUAAAGAUAAACAAAGCCAACUAUACACGGAGGCAUUGUCAAAAAUUUAUAGGAUCAGAAAAUAAGCACGGUUACCAAUGAUUUGCAUGUCUUACACUCUCAUUACCCGAAAGUACUAAUCUUUAAUUAAAAGGCAACAUAUUAUGAAUAAAUAAAUAAGAUAAUAAUGUCAUUUGGAACAGUGAACAGACAAUAAGCAGAAGAGCAGAACCCUUUGGCUAAAAUAACGUCAUUUAUUUCCUCUUCAGGUGAACUUUAAGCGGUGAAAUUAUCAAAUUGAUCUCUACAGUUCACCAGAAGUAACAAACUAGUCUACAAAUUUACCUUUUUCUUUUUAAUAAUUUGUCCCAUCAUCCAACUUUGUAAAUAAAAAGUGUAAUGCUAACCAUUACAAAUUUGUCAUUUAAAAAAUAAGGCUAAAUAAUGUGGUAUUCAUGAUUAAUUGAUAAAAAAUAUAAUUAAUUCACUUGAAUUUUGUAUCGAAUUACUAUUAUUUAGAAAAAAAUUAAAAUAUUUUAUAUCUAUCAUUACUCGAAUAAGAGGAAUGUACUGACUUGUGACAACAAAUAAAUUUAUAUACCUAUUUACCACUUUGACAAACUAUAGGGACUAAUUUGAUAAUUUAAAAAAAAUUAAAAUUUAAUGAAAAAAAUGAGAGAGAAAAGGAAAGAGAAAGUCUUUACGUCUUGACGAUAGACGGAAAUGAGAGGAUUUCCCGCUGAAUCAACAACCACCACUCUUUUCCUCCGUUGUGAUGAAUUUGAUUUUGACUGAUGCUGAGUACGAUUGACUCUGUAAAUAAUGCCACCGGAUGAAUCAGCGAACCCGAUAUCGCCACGUGUAAGGCCGGGAUAUUUCUUGGAGACGAACAGAUCAACAGGGAUCGGCGAGUUCGCCGUGUAUAUAGGACCAGAAGCAGCCAUAAAUAACAAAUAUUGAUAAAUUUAAUUUAAUUCAUUUGAGUUUGAUUUUUUUUAUUUUUUAACGAAUGGUAAAUAAGGAGAAUAAAUAGAAAGCGAAAAAGAGCAAAGUGGCUGGCUUUAUUGGAGAAUGGAGAUGAUGGGAAUCAGGUUCGUUGGUUGGACUUCGCCAGCCGGCUUCAGCUUGCUUUGAAGAGUCUCUGCCUGCACCGCAUGAUCUGAUGGAUGGAAUAUCAGCUUUUGUUUCCUUUUAAAAAAAAUAUUGAAUAAAUGUGAAUACAAAUAUUUAAAUAUAAUACUGUCUUAUUCAUUUUAUAAAUUAAAAAAUUAUUUAAUAUUUAUUUUUUUUGUAAAUUAAAACAAAAGAUAAUCAAAAUUUUUUAAUUUAACAAACAAAUAUAGUUGGAAGAGAUAUUUUUAAAAAUAUUUAUUUAUUUCUUAUUUAGAAUCAUAUUUAUUUUUACUUAAAUUUUUCUCAUUUGAAUAAAAGUUAAAAUUUAUUUUUUAUUUAAAUGUAAAUAAUUAAAAAUUAGAUAUAAAUUAAAAUUUUAAUGUAAAUAAGUUUAGAAAAAAUCUAAAAUUAAUAAAAUUUUCGACUUUACACGUUUAAAUAAACAUUAAGAAGAACAAUACAAAAACAUAAAGGAGUUCUACUAUUUGAACUGAGAGAAGGUAGAAAUCAUUUAAUAAACCAACAAAAACGUGGGCCCACAAUAAAUUUAAAAAAGGCGCGUGAAUAGGGUUCUGCUAAAGGAAAAUGACAAGCACACUUCGGUGUUCUAUUAUGAUGGGCUUGGCUCAUUUCUAAGCCCAAGACCAUUUUUAAAAAGUUUGAUUCGAUGUUUGCUAUCACAUUUUUAUUUAUUUAUUUAUUUAUUUUAGCAUUUGUGAUUUAUCAUGUUUCUUAAAUAAUGGCCGUUUCAGGUAGGAUGGUAGUUAAAUAAUCUCAAUGGAUUAGGUAAGGCAGUUAUUAUAUAAUUGUUCAAUUUUCUGCAACUUUUUUCCAUCCCUACGUGUAGAUAACUUAUCGUUUUAGGUUAUGUAAUGCUUCAACAAAUUGCUUGCUGUAGGCAACCAGCAAAAACAUCAUGUUUAUUGUUCUCCCUUUACAGACCUUCAUCAAGUAGAUGUAGCUUCUCACUUCAUUCGUGUGUUUGGAAGCUUUUUAAGAGAAAAUAAUUUCAAAAUUCAGAAUCCAAAUUGUUUUUAAUUAACGUAUUGCCACUCGGCCUUUUGGUCAGGGCUGCUGCCCUCCAAGUUGGAGGGCAGCAGUUCGAACCCCCACAAAUGCAUUGUGGGGGUAUUUUCUUCAUCAAUUAAAUUUGAGUGAAGACAAUCUUUUUCUUUACCCAAGUGUGAGGAGUAGACAUCCAUCGAAUAUUUGUGAGGGUUAAAAUCUGGGCAGCGCUCCAUUAGCAUUGAUGUAAGUUAGUCCUAGUAAUAAUCUAAUUUGUAAAUAUCAGUAUAGUCUCAUGUAAUAUGAGUUGUAAUUUGAGCAAUAGUCUCAUGUAAUUAAAAAAAAAAAUUAACGUAUUAAUAUAACACUGCAUUUUUCUUUAAAGUUUACUUUUUGUUGAGAUAGUUCCAAUGCUUUAGUUUAUUAUAUUUAUUCCCCUUACAAUAUGAAAAUUUUAGUUUUUUUUAAAGCACUUUUUUUGUUUUUCUAGGCCAUGCAAUAUACUCAACUACGUAUUAAUUCAUUUCUUAUGUGUGAUUAUUAUAUCUAUGAAUACUAUGUGUACCUUGGGACUUCUUCAUCAUUAGAUGGUCAAUUUUUUUGACUUUCUAACUAUAUGACAAUGCCCAAACCAAAGGGUAUCAUUCUCGGACACCACAUUUAAUACUGUACUAUGAAUCCAACUUGGUAAUAGAACGCAUCACACUUGCAAACUCAACAGAAUAAGAAAGACCUCAAAUAUGAUUCUUGAUUGAAGUUCAGUGUGCUUCUUUUGCAACAAUAACAAUGGAGCUGCAGGUCAAUCAAGCAGAAAUGAUCCCCCCAAUUACAAGCUCAACUUCAUGGCCAAAAUUUGUCAAUAAAAACAUCACACCAAUCACCAAUCUUCACAACCACUAUAGCCCCCUCCAUAGUCAUAGUAAUUGUUCCCUCUACCGUCAUAGUAAUUGCAAUAUAAGUAUUGUCGUCCUCAAAAUUGUCACAAUAACCACUAUGAAAAUCAUCAUGGUCAAAAUCAUCAUAGUAAAUCCCCUCUCUGGAAAACGGCUCCAAAUCUCUUAAAGCAAAUAAUACUACCACUCUCACCUUCAUUGUAUGAUUCAUCAAAGAAUUGAUUCUCCACUCCCUCUUCCUCAUCUUCUUCCUGCAGCUCAUGAAACGCCUGUCUCAUCUGGAUAAGCCAUUUGUGGACUAUCUUCAGCUGUAGGCACAAAUAGAUGAAGUCAGUCAAAUGGCUACAUCUUGAACGUUAGAUCAAAAGGAAGAAUAAGAACUAGAAGUUACGAUACAAUUUGAAAAUAUAUAAUGGCCACUCUCUUCUUUAAGAAAUUGCUCUGCAUCUCUAGAAGCAUCAUUUUCCGAUUCAUUAGCAGCUUUACUCUCCAUUUGCACUUCCAGCUCCAACUCUCUUCAUCAGAUAUCACAUUUGGAUAAACAUUCCAUGAAGUACAUUCAGCUGAGAACACCAAAAGAAAAAGAAGUAAGGAUGAGCAAGAUUUAAAAGUUAUAAUACCCAUUCAAAUCAGCUUCUUCAUUAGACAUCUCAUAUGGAUUAUUAUUUCAUGGAUUAUAUUCAGCUUAAAACAGUGAAAGAUGAAGAAAGUCAAAUAGGGGUACUGUGAAUAUUAGAGCAAAAGCAUGAGCCAAAACUAAAGGUUAUAAUUAUCAAGUAAUAGAGAACAAAAGAGACAAAUAAUUUUUGGAAAAAAAGGUUCUCUCCAUUUGUUGAGACAUACCAGUUCUUAUAGUUGUAAAAUAAUUUUGUACAAGGUAAGUAGAAUAAUCAAUCUCAAUAAUUUGGGUAUUUUACAAUAAGUAUACAGCUAGCCCCAAGAUUACGCUAGUAAUCAAGUGCUUGAUUUAUGCAAUCAAGUUAUUUAUUGGAGACAGUAUAAUGUUGACAGCCUCCCUCAAAUUGAUGUUGGUGAAUCAACAAGCUUCAAUUUGCCAACCAAGAACUGAUGCCGUAUCUUGGUCAAGGACUUUAUAAAUAUAUCUGCAAUUUGAAAUGUUGUGGACACAUGAGGUAAUUGAAUGGUACCAUCAGCAUAAGCAUCUCGAAUAUAGUGGCAGUCAACCUCAAUAUGUUUAGUUCUUUCAUGAAACACAAGAUUUUCAGCAAUUUGUAUGGCACUCUUGUUAUCAGCAUGCAAUAGCGUUGGAGACGCUUAAGGAAAACCCAAUUCAGAUACAAGUUGUCGUAGCCAUACAAUUUCAUAACAAGCACCCGACAUAGCUCUAUACUCUGCUUCAGUAGAGGAUUUAGACACCCUCUCUUGUUUUUUGCAUUUCCAAGAGACAAGACUAUCACCAAGAUACAUACAUCAACUUGUAGUUGAUCGAUGAGAGUCUGAACACCCAACCCAAUCAGCAUCACUAUAAGCUUUGAGAACAAGAGGGGAGCCAGCCUUGUAAAAUAGUCCACGAUUAGGAGUCCCAAGCAAAUAACAGAUUAUUCUUUUAACUACUGAAAUAUGUAAAUGUCGAGGCUCAUGCAUAAAUUGGCUCAUUAAGUUCACUGCAUAAGAGAUGUCUGGUCGGGUAAUCGUCAAAUAAAUCAAACUCCCGACUAGUUUCCGAUAUAGUGUAGGAUCAGAAAGCAAGUCACCAUCAUCUUUCGAAUAUUUCACAUUGAUCUCAAGUAGAGUGUUUAUGACUGUUGAAUCUUCAUGUCUUGCCAAAGCAAUUAAAUAUUUUGUGUAUUUAUGCUGAUGGACGUAGAUGCCUUCACUUGAACGAUGUACCUCAAGGCCGAGAAAAUAAGUGAGAUUGCCAAGAUCUUUCAUUUGAAAAUAUGAAUGCAAAGACUCCUUAAAUAGCUGGAUACCAGAUGUGCCAGUCCCCGUAAUAAUUAUAUCAUCUACAUAAACAAGAAGAAUAAUGAUACCAACAGUUGAACGUCGAAUAAACAUAGAAUGAUCAUUAGAGCUCCGGUGAAAAUCCAACUGAUGCAGUAUUUGACCAAACUUUGUAAACCAUGAACGUGGUGCUUGUUUAAGCCCAUAAAGAGGACGUCGUAGACGACAUACUUGAGCUUUUGAAUUAGAGCUUACUCCAUGUGAAAGCUUCAUGUAGACUUCUUCUUGUAGAUCUCCAUACAAGAAUGCACUUUUUACAUCCAUUUGAAAAGAGGCCAUGCUUGUAAACCCAUAAUCGCUAACAAAGUGCGAACUGUGGUCAUUUUGGCCACUGGAGCAAAAAUCUCAUGAUAGUUUAUACCAUAUUUUUGCCAAUUCCCAAGAGCAACCAAACGAGUUUUAUAACGAUUCAAAGAACCAUCAGCUUUUUGUUUGAUAGAGUAAACCUGUUUGCACCCGAUUGGUGUACAACUAGCGGGACAAGAGACAAUAUCCCAUGUAUGAUUUCUUCUUAACGCUUCUAGCUCUUCAUCCAUUGCAACCUGCCAAUGUAAAUAUUGUUUGGCUUGGGAAUAAGAGUUUGGAAUACUCAUAGGUGACAAUGUGGUCAUAAGAGACAAACGAUCAGGUGGUUUGAUUUGUCUACUAGAUCUUCGUAAUAGAGGUGCAGCGGAUAUUGUGUUUGACUCAUGUGUUUCAAGACUUGGAUCAUGUGUUUCAGGGCUUGGAUCAAGAGAUAAGGAAGAUUCUCGCUGAGGACCCUUUGUUUCUUCACUGUUAGUUUUGUCUCGUUGCUCACUUUCUAUCCCAAGAUUAAACCUUGCCUUGUUAGGAAUAUCACUAUCAAAGUCAUGAAGAUUAGAAAAUGGAGAUAAAGAAGUAGUGACAUGGGUAUUUUGAAAAAAAUAAAUAUUUUCAACAAAAAUAACAUUCCGAGAUAUGCGAGUAUGACGAGCUUUGAGAUCAUAACAAAGGAAACCUUUGUGAUAAGAUGCAUACCCAAGAAAUGCACAUCUUGCAGAUUGUGUAGUCAAUUUAUUUCUAUCUAAUGUAGGAAGAUGACAAUAACAAAGACAUCCAAAAACACGUAAUUGAGUGUAAUCAGGAUGUUUAUUAUGCAAACAGAAAUAUGGAGACUCAUUAUAAAGGUUAAAUGAUGGCAUACAAUUAAUCAAGUGUACAGCUGUAGACAAGGCUUCCACCAAAAAAUGAGAAGGUACAGAUGCAUCAAGAAGCAAAGCACGAGUAACAUCCAAGAGAUGUCGAUUUUUCUUUCAGCUAUUCCAUUUUGCUGAGGAGUGUCUGGGCAAGUUUUUUGAGAUAUUAUUCCUUCAUUUUGAAGAAAAUUUUGAAAAUCAUUAGACACGUAUUCCCCUCUAGAAUCAGAUCUUAAGAUUUUGAUAGAAGUGGAAAAUUGAUUUUUUGUAUAUGCAAGAAAACGUUUAAAGGCAUCAAAUACAUCAGAUUUAUUAUGUAAAAAAUAAAUCCAUGUGUGACGACUAUAGUCAUCAAUGAAGGAAACAAAAUAUUUCUUACAAGAAUGAGAAGGAAAAUGAAAUGGUCCCCAAACAUCUCUAUGAAUCAAAUCAAAACAACUUUUUCCAUUAUUUUGAUGUACUGGAAAAGGUAGUUUUUUACUUUUACCAAGUUUACAGCUAUCACAAUUAAAUACCACAUCUGAAGAAUUAACAAAAUCUUUAUUAGAAAUCAAUCGACUCUUUAUCAACGAUAACAAAGUUUUAGUAUUUGGAAAUUAAAGUAGAAUAAUGUGAAGAGAACAAUGCUUUAUUCUUGAGAUAUCCAGGCAAGCUUAGAGUAAACAGUCUUCCACAUUUAGGUCCCUUCCCGAUCACUUUCCCCGUUUCUUGAUCAUAUACAAUACAACCAAAUUUUAAAAAAAAAGACUGUACAAUUAUCUUCAACCAAUUGCCCAACAGAAAUAAGACUCGAAGUUAAACAAGGCACAUGAAAUACAUUAGUUAAAGGCAAAGUAUGUGGAAUAUCACCAAUUGAUUUAACAUGAAUACUUUCUCCAUUUGCUGUUUGAAUUUCUAAAUUUCCCAAGGAUGGUUUCACAUUGACAAGAGAUGCGGAUGAAGGUGUCAUAUGGUUGGAAGCACCAGAAUCAAUGCAACAAUGAGAUGAAGAAGCAUUUUUACCUGAAACACCAAGAGCUAAUAAUGCUGAAAAAAUCAUAUGUUGUACCACUUCAGGAGUAAGGCUUGUGGAACUAGGUUCUGAAUGUGAAUUUGAGCUAGUAGUUUGCAAGGCUUGAGGACUUUUAUUUUGAGGCCGUCGUCGACAUUCAUCAAUCACAUGUCCAGGUUUCUUGCAAUAGUUACAAAAUUUCUUUUUUGCAUUGCUUGCCUAUAUGUCCAAAUUCUUUGCAACUAUAGCAUUGCAUUUUGCUCAUGUCCCUUGCAUGUGCUUGCGAUGCAAUGUCACCUCCAUUGGAUUAGAUACCUAAUUAUUCUUUACUUCAAGAAUAGAUUGAGUUAUACAUCGUUGUUCUUCACGAAGAAGUUCAGCAAGACAUAUAUCCAAAGAUGGAGAAGGAAUUCUGGACAUUAGAUUGGCACGAAUAGGUUCAAAAUCACGCCUUAAUUUCAUAAGAAACUGAUCUCGUUUAGACACUUCAUGCACUUGUUGCAAAGUAGACAGCCCCUCUUGUGAAACAGUAGCAUAAACCAAAUCUUGGUAUUCAGGCCAUAGAUUUAAAAAACCAGAAUAAUAAUCUUGUAUUGACAAGUUCCCUUGACUACAUUCAGAUAACUCUAAUUCAAGUUGAAAACGUCUAGCAGAGUUUUCUUGAUUAUAAUUUUUUUUAAAUAAUUCCACAUAUGCUUAGAACAACGAAAAGGCCUCAAACUAAGAACAAUACGAGCAUCAACAGAGCUCAAGAUCCAACUAAUUAUUUUAGCAUCAUUUGAAUCCCAUUCCUUUAUUUUUACACUAUCAGUUCCUUCUUGGGGCCUAGAAUCAGAUCCAUCAACAUAACCCCACAAGUCUUUUCCUUUCACAAACAUGCGAAAUUGAAAUUCCCAAGAGAAAUAGUUUUUCCCAUCUAAUUUGAUAGCCAAGGUUUCUGAUUGUGACAUUUUAAACACUAGAAUAAAGAAAAUGUUCACUUACCCAAGAUGUCCCACCGACACGAUUCAAACUCUCAAUCACGAUUGCAACAAUAAGAUCUCAAUUUCCACGAAUGAAAGUUGAUAUCUCUAUUUGCGAACAACACAACAAUUUGCUAUGAUGUUAUAAGAAAUUUCAAGAUUUUCUCUUAUACAUGCAUGGCUCUGAUACCAUAUCAAGUAAUAGAGAACAAAAGAGACAAAUAAUUUUUGGAAAAAAAGGUUCUUUCCAUUUGUUGAGACAUACCAGUUCUUAUAGUUGUAAAAUAAUUCUGUACAAGGUAAGUAGAAUAAUCAAUCUCAAUAAUUUGGGUAUUUUACAAUAAGUAUACAGCCAGCCCUAAGAUUACGCUAGUAAUCAAGUGCUUGAUUUAUGCAAUCAAGUUAUUUAUUGGAGACAGUAUAAUGUUGACAAUAAUACCAUCCAAAUCUGUUUCCUCAUGAGACAUCUCAUUUAGGUAAUCAUUUCAAUAUGAUCUUGAAGAAAGCAAUAUGAUCUUACAGAGCUUUCUUCAUUUUCGCGUGUUCUCAGUUAAAGACAAAACUGGCAAAUGAUUACCCAUAUGAGAUGUUUGAUGAGGAAGCGGAUUUGAAUGGUAUUAUAACUUUCAGUUCUUGCUCAUACUUUUGCUUUAAAGUUCAAAAUGCCCCUAAUUGUCUUUCUUGAUCCGUCGGUGCUCUCAUAAACAGCAGCCUGCUAAAGAAACAGCACAAAAUAAACAGUUAUGAACAUAUCAUUAGCAGGUAUAAUGGAAAAUGACAGACGGACCGAGCUUAUUAAAGCCCGAGAAGACCGAAGCGAAAAUAGUGACUGUGUUUGAUAAUUUUAAUGAGUUUUACGUGUUUUUCACGUGCAAACAGUAAAAAUAAAAAUUCAGUCCGAGAAUCCUCAAAUCCAUUAUGCCCAAACCACUCUAAAGCCUCAAAUCCAUUAUCUUCCAAGUCAAUUCCCAGCCCCAAAAUCCCCAAAUCCCUUGAGCCCAAACCACUCUAAAACGAAACCCAUCAACACCAUUCUAGCUUCUUGACUUAGUCUUUCACCAAGUAAGUAUUAAGUUUAUAUUUUUUUCUGUUUUGGUAUAUAUAUUUUUUCUUUUGGUGAUGGGUGAUGGGUGAUGGGUGAUGGGUUAAGGUCUUCUCUCUCAGUCUCAAUGUUCCGAAAUUGGCCAAUAUCUUCUUCGAAGUUGUUGUUCUCAACCUUAUCCAGUUCUCCAAUUUCGUGGACUACUUCCAAACUUUCCAUUGCUACAUAAUAAACAUCAUCCAUAUUGAAUGUAAAUAAAUCAAAAUUGACACAGCAACAAACAAGCAACAUACUAAAAUCAAAUGCCCAUUAAAUAAACAAGACCCAAAUGUACUUGAGCAUGAUACCAAUGAAAAUACUACGAGCAAAAUACUUUCAUUGGUAUUUAAAUGGGUACUAAUGAAUUGAUUGCAAUGCUUUUUUUUUCAUCCUUUUAUUUUUUUUGGAUUCAGAUGCCCUUUUAAUGUUAAGAAGUGGUCUUUUUGGGAGACUCACCUAAUUUCAUUUUUUUUCAAAUAAGAAAUCAAUGGUCCCAUCAGACUCUACCUAUGUUAUAGAUUUCUAUUUUCUAUUAGUGCACCACCUCAACGUACUAAAAUUUUUUAGUCUAACCUAUGCAAGGUUGUCAAAAUUACAAGCGUCAGUGUUUGAUGCAACUCUCAAUUUGACACCAAGUCCAGCAAUUUAGAUUGUUCUAGAAGGAUAAAUUGUCAUAUUCAUGACAUUUAUUUAAUAAUCAUGUUUGUUUGAAGGUCAAGUGAUUUUAUUUAUAUUACAAUUAAGGACUUGACUAUCUUAUAAAUUCUGUAAGGUACGCACCGGUAAAUAAAAGAAAUGGAAAGUGAGCUCAAGUGGGUCAUCACUCUAUUUUUAAUAGAGUUGUACCUUACAUAAUAGCUUCUGUAAGGUAGUAAGCUCCUACAAUUAAUUGUUGGACUAAUUUUUUUUUUGACUUUAUUUAUAAUCCGACUGAAAUAUAUCAUAUUUGCACAAAAGCAAUUAAAACAAGAAUUGGACUAUUGGCACCCCUUCGUUAAUCUCAAAAAAUCUCUAUUAUGUUAUCGUUAUAUUUACGGACAUAUACAAAUAAGAUUAACCCCAUUUAUGUAUCUCUCUCUUUAAUUUUAUUUUACUUGCACAAUACAAUUUUUUUAUUAUUAUUAAAUUAUCCGAAUUUAAGAAGUAAUCCUCUAAAGCCAAAAUAAAAUUCUUGUAAUAAACAUAACAACUAAAUUAGAAUACAACACAGUGGGAAAAAUAAAUUAAAUAAUUUUUUAAGAAUUUUCAAACUAAUUGUUACACCCAAAAUUUAUCGGUACCAUAUUUAGGGGUUGGUUAAAACUAUAAAAUUGAUUUCACCUACUAUUUUAGCCCUAGUGUGAAGUGUAGCAGAAUAUGUAUGAUCAAAGCGUUUAAACACAAUGUAAGUGGCUGCAAGAGUGCCUACUAUCUCAGCAAAAACAUCAGAACUUGGUUUUUCUAUAGUAGUAGCAAAAAUAAUUUUGCGUGUGUCCAUUUCUUCAGGUCUCUGUCAAUAGUUGUGGAUUUGUGGUGUUCUUGACCAUGGCCAACUUGAAAGUAAACAAUGUCAGUUUUAUUCGUAGCUUUCAUUAUGAAAUCAGUUGUCAUGGUAGACUUAUAAAUAUUCAUAUUUUUCAUGUAUAAGGUUUUUCAUACUUUUUUUUUUAGAUUUUUUUCUUUAGAAAUUAAAUAAUAAUAAAAUUUAAAAAGAGGAAUACAAAUAUUAAGGUGGCGUUUGUUUUUUUGUCUGAAAUCUGAAUAGACCUGAAUUAAUCUGAAUUCUGAAUAGGUCUGAAUGUCUGAAUCUGAAUAAUAUGUUUGUUUUUUCGUCUGAAUAUCAGAAAAUAAAUAUUAAGUUGUUUGUUUUUUUCAACUUAAAAAGCUGAAAAUAUGUCCUUUUACAUUUGUAUCCUUAUUAAAUUUAAAUGUCAAAUAAAUAAUAUAUUAAAUACCACAAUAUUUUAACAUUUAUAAGUAAAACUAUAUUCAAGUGAAUACAUAAUUAUUUUAGAAUUUUAAUAUAAAAUACCAUAAAUUUUAAAUUUUAUCGUAUAUAAUAUAAGAAAGAAAAAACAUGGAUUUUUUUAUGUGGGGUAAAUAUAUAUGGGUGAGUUUUGGGAUAGACAUGAAAAAUAAGUUAUAAAACAUGGAUAUUUUUGACAUUAGCAAGUAAUUGACUUAAUUCAGAUUUCUCCAUUAAGUAAAAAGCCAAAAAAAUUAGCUUAUUUUAUUAAGUCAAAAUAAUCUAAAAAGUCUCAUUAAGUUAUAAAAACAAACACUUCUAAUUAACUUAAUUAAUUAAGUUAAGUCACUUUAAGUCAUUAAGUUAAAAAACAAACGCCACCUAAGUCUAAAAGAGUGAAAAAAAUUAUUAAAAAUUGAAAGAUUUAUAAAUGAAAAUAAUAUUUAUUUUAAAAAAAGUAUCUUUAACAUUAAAUGAAAUAUAAUUGAAAAAAGAAGAUUCGAGAGGAUUUUGGAGGAACGCCAGUAAUCUGAAUCUUAAAACAAAUGGUCAUAUGUGGAAAUUAUUAUAUAAAGAGUAAUGAUAUAGUCACAAACUUUUGUACAAAUUUAUUUUUUACAAACUGAUGUGACAUGAUAAAAUUAAUUGAAUUAAAUAUCACUUGACCCACAUGAUUUAUUUUUAUUAUUUUUUAUUUUCAUUCAACCAAUGAAUUAAUGCCACGUUAAUUUAUACAAGAGUUUGUGGUUGUUUCAUUACUCUUAUAUAAAUUUAGAAUAAGGGGUGGGCAAUCAAUUUCUUAUGUUUGCCAUCUCCAGCCUUGCUUGUAUACAAGGCCAAUCGCUUUAAGAAUAACAAAAUAGGAUUUUUUAUUUUUUUUUUUCCUCCCCGAAACUGCAGAAAAAAUUGGUAAUAAGGUAAAUGCAAAUUAUGUUCAAGUAACACGGCGGCAGCAUACUGUAAAACAAGAAUAUUUAUCAAUUAUCACCAGUAACUAUGUUACAAUCUAAACAUUAAGGAAAGAGGCAAAGAUCACAGCGGCAUGUGCAAGCUGAAUCAAGUGAAAUGCUCUAAGCAUCAUCUCGCUAAUAAGAGUUCUAAAGAAUUGAAAAACAAAGAACAAGAAGAGAUCUAAACUUUUGCCCAACUGAUCAAAACAGCACAAGUGUCCUCCAAAGUGGACAAACCGUGCUUCAAUCUUUAUCCUCCAACGAACAUUUGUAACAUUGGAUAUGUUAGGGUUGGUAAGAGAAUGAAAGUCUAUACAAAAGUAUACAAUUGAAAAUCCAUGCUAACACUAAUUUUACUGUUAGUCCCUAACUUUGGUCAUGAAACAGUACUCACAGAGCUGCCAGGGGCAACAAAUAGAAACCGCCAAUUUCCCCUGCUAAUCACAUAUAUACCAUCAAUUUAUCGAUGAGACCAUCUCCAAUCUUCACCAUCAGCAUCAUUCUCUUCAUUAUCAAGAUUAUCAAAACAAUGAUCGUCGUUUUCAAAAUCAUCAUAAUAAAUCUCAUCUUCCAGAAACCGGUCUACAUCCCUUGAAGCAAUACCACCCCUCUCACUCUCAUCUUCUGAAUUUUCAGUUGCCUUGCUCUCCACUCCAUCUUCAUCUACCUCUUCUUCUUCUUCUUCCUCCUCCUCCUCCUCUUGCUCAUCAGAAAUCUCAUCUGGAUACUCAUUUCGCGGAUUAUCUUCAGCUGAGAAUACCAAAAAGAGAAUAAUGUCAUAUAGGGGCAUUUCGAACUCUAGAGCAAAAGAAUGAGCAAGGACUGGAAGUUACAAUACCAUUUGAGUCCUCACUAUCAUACUCUGACUCAUCAGGACCAUCAUAGAACUCCUCAUCAUCGACUUGAACCCUAAACCAUGAUAAUCUAUCAACUUCAACAAAUUAAAAAAAAGGUGCAUCUAAAGUAGCAUAUUGAAAUCAACACUUACAGAGGAAAUGGGCUGGACGCAUCUUCAUCAACAUUCAUGUCAUCAUUUACAGCAUAAUAGUCGUAUACAUAAUCAUCUGCAAAUGACAUAAAAUACACAGAUAGUAACACCCAUCAAGCAGUGCUCAACAAUACAGGCUUGACUACUCACUGCCUCUGAUGUUAACGAAGAGCUGAAAUAGUAAUUAAAGCUUUACUGAAGGAGAAAUCAUUAAAAUACUAAUGAAAUCAAAUUUUCUCACUGGAACCUAAGUGUUAUUUAAUUGAGGUAGUACCCAGAGUGAAUCUACAUUUGUUACACAAGACUGAAAGCAAAUUUAAAAUGGAAGGAAGUAGCUAAAGAACAAAUUGCAUGUUUGACGUAAAUUAUGAUCUUUAAUGAAACAAAGUAGAAAUCACAACCUUGUUUAGACAAAUAGGCCCACAUAUCAGAUUCAAUCUCUGCAGCAGCACCCGGUAGAAACUCUCUUAGCAUAGGCAGAUAGCUAGACAGCAAUCUUUGAUCCUCCAAAGACAUAUCUCUGUUAUAAAAAUAUAUGGUUCAUUUUCACAUCUUUCGCAUAUAAACAGAUGAAUUUCUUGAUGACAAAACUUAUUCCUACCUCUGCACCUCAUUGGAUUUUUCUUCCCCAUCAACACGAACAACAUCAUAAAAAUGACACAUUUCACGUAAUUCUUUGUGAUGCAACUCCUCUUUGUGACCUUUUCUGCUCCUCCAUAUCUGUUCAAAGCGAGCAUUUUUUGCCAAUACCUGUUGGGAAAAAAAAUGAGAUAAAUCAACAACCCAGCAGAAAAGGUAUAAAGAGCAAGUAUUUUCACUAUCUUCAAAUAUCGGUUUAGCUAACACGUCAUCUCCUUUACUCCUAAAAUCAUGAAAAGUUACUAAACCACUCUAAGCAAACAUUUCCUGAUAAAGCAACAAGGCAAACAAUGUCGCAGCUUCUAAGGCGUAGGUUAUCUACUACUGACUAUGUAUACAAUUGAGGACCAACACAGAAGACCUUUACUGCAUGAGAUGCAUCAGUCCUCCGAAGUUUCUGGAAGCAAAAGCAAAGGUUCAAAAGCAAAUUUAGAGAAAGGGGAUGUUCGGGUGUUGAGAAGCUGCUGAGUCAACGAGUCAAGGGCUGGUGAAAACAGUAAUUUACAAACAUAUAAAACUACUACACCAUAAGACACAUGGCAAUUUCAAUAAAGGUGAUGGGCAUAGCUAAUAUUCAUUAGCAUGCAAGCACAAUAAGACCAAACAUAUGCAAAACUAUAGGGCAAAAUCCUAAGUUGAAUAAAAAAUAAGAUAAAUGUAGUAAUUCAGUUGCAGUAAUUUUUUCCUCUUGUCUCCCCCAACAGCUGCACUUUCAUCAGUCAAAUUCUCCCACCAUCGUGACCUUUCCUUUUUUUUUUUUUCUCUUUCUCUGAUCAUCACAGACAUUCCCUCAAUUUGCACCCCAUAUAAAAGAAAAUCCAACAAAGAUCAUCUUUGCAUAUAAACAAUAUAUACAACCUCAAUGUGCACCCUACUUUCGAGAAAAAUAGAAGAGAAAGGGAGAAAGAAAUGCAUGAUAAACAACACAAUUAUUUUUGUCCACUCCCAUUCCAUUAAGAUAAACAUCAACGCUACCUGAAUAACGUGACUCGUUUAACCAGCCAAUCAAGCCUAUGAUUGCCUAAAGAAACAAACAACUAGCAUUUGCACAAAGAAAUGGUAUUGUCCAUAUUAAAAACACAUUGAAACUGAAGGAGAUCCCCUUAUCCAAAGGGGGGGAAAAAGAAGAAGAACUAGAAAAUGAACAGAUAGUCAGCACCACAAGGCAGCAAAGAAAGAAUGGACGAGUAUCGAUAUAAGAAUUAAAUUUCAACAAGACACGAUUUAAAGAUGCCAAAAAUUUAGUAUACAUCUUUAACUCCAAAGAAGAAAGGUAUCCUAGUAUGAUCAUCAAUAACAAGUUCUAGGAUCUUCAGGUAAAUUAAUUUAUCUGCACCUGCAAUGUAACAUACCUCCUGCUGCUGUCUGGCUUUAGACAAAUUCUGAUCAUGUCUCUGCAUGCAUUAAAUGAAAAUAACAAUACGUUAGUUAAUCGCCAUGAAUGGAAGUGUCAUUCCAAAAGCCACCUGUUGGUUAAUCAUUGAGAGAGCAGGAAAACUUACAUUAUCUUUCUUAAAUGCAAGUCUACGUUCCUCACUCUUUGUCUUAAGCACAUCAGUAAAAUUAGGCUGCAAAGAAACAAUCAAUAUCUAAAACACUGCCCAUACAGGUAGAACAUAACAUACAACAAAAUAAAAUGGGAAAACGCUGAAUAGCCAAAGUCCAACUUAGAAUGAUAGUGACCAUAAAUAUAGACAGGCACACUGACCACAAACGAUUGCACAAUGUCAAUGUUGGCCUCAGAAGUGGUAGCAGUCUCCACGUGCUGUACAAAAACCUUCCUAGCCUUCAAUUCCUCUGUUACAAAUCAAGAACAAUGCAUUAGCUUUGUCAAAGUAAGAAUGAGUGGUUUUUGUCAAAUGGGUACAAAAAGUUGCCAAAAAAUCAAGGAAUAUGGAAAAAUUGAAAUGUGAAUUGGACCAAAAAUACAGAAUAGCUGAUUUCAGUUGGACCAUCAAACUGAAUAAGGAAAAGGACAAUAGCCUAGAAAAGUUAUUAGACAUCAGUUAAGUUAGAAUAAAUUUUACUCACAAUGUACAUAUAAAAUCGAAGGAAAAAUUAUAUUAUCGGUAAUCUGUCAAAGUUCUUUAAAUUCAUGAAAGAAAACGAAAGGAAAGCUGAUACUAACUUGCUUACCUAUCCCAGAAGAACUAGAGAUUGACAGCUUCUCAAAGUCCAAUAAUGGCCGCUUCAGUGGUCUCUCAUUAAUUUCAAGCCCUACAAACACAACCAAAUAAUAAAACUAAAAAUAAAAAAAAAAAGCACCUAGAAAGAAAGAAUGAGAGAAAGGAUAACUUACAGAAAGCUUCAAGCGGAGGCCGAGAGGCUUUGCGUUUAACCCUAACAAUGACAGGCUUGUCGUUUGUGGGUUUUGGUGGAGCUGAAGAGCUCUCACCGUGGCUGCUCGCCAUUUAAUCAAACAAACGGUACAGCCAAAAUCUGCUUCAAGGGUGCCGGGUUCCAAGCUUUGCAGACCUGCAAUUGGGGAGUUUUAGAGAAUUGCUCCAAGUUCGAUGCUUUCUAAUGGUUUCUGUUAUGCUGACCCAAUUUGCUUCAUUGAUGAAAAGACCAAGAUGCCCUCAACUCAAGGAUAAACAAUUUGAUUAGGAGUUGAGAUAUUUGUCUAACAGUUGAUAUGCUUCUCAAACAUAUAUAACUUAAAACUCUUCUAUAAUUUCAUCGAGCCAAAUAUUGAAUCCCUGUACUGCAAUUAAUUUCUUUAGCAUGUGAGUCUACGUAACUCUCAUAAAAAAUAAUGCUGAUGACGAAACAGAAAAGUUGAAAACUUUAGCAUGAAUGGGACCGGAACUGAUGACGAAGACGGUGGCGAUAAAAUGCUUCAACGGUGGCCGUUCGUUCGGGCAGCUGGAAUACGACGGCGGCUGGAAGCUGUGUUCGAUGGUAGUAACGCUUGGCAGCUGCUGGAGUGUUGGUCGUCGACAGUGACGCCGAUUUUGGCUUGGUGACUGGUCCUAGUAGGUUUGUUUUGUAUGCUUUUGUUAGCUUAUUCCCGAGGGAUUUGAGUUGGUGGGUGAUUUGAGCUUUCGCGGAAGUGAACAGCGAAUACUGAAGUUAGGACAUCUGACAUCAAAACUAACACUAAAUUAUUUUUUCCAUUAUUUUUGGUGUAAAAUAUUUUUUUAAUAUAAUAAUAAAAUUAAUACUAAAAUAAUAUUAGGAAUAGUAUUGCACUAAAUAUGGUGCAAUACUAUUCAUUUAGUGUUAGAAAAAAAAUUCUAAAUAUCCUUAUUACUUUUUUUUAUUUAUAUAUAUGUCCUAUUUUAUAUAAUAUUUUAAGUUAUUAUUAUUAUUGUUGUUAUUAUUUUUGGUGAAAAAUAUUUCUCUAAUAUAACAACAAAAUUAACACUAAAAUAAUAUUAUGAAUAGUAUUGCACCAAAUAUGGUGCAACACUAUUCAUUUAGUGUUAGAAAAAAAAAUUCUAAAUAUCCUUAUUAUUUUUUCUUCUUUAUAUAUAUGUCCUAUUUUAUAUAAUAUUUUAAGUUAUUAUUAUUAUUAUUGUUAUUAUUUUUAUUUCAUUUUUGAAUAUUAUACUAAUAUUUUAAAUAAAAAAUAUUCAACACAAAAAUUAAUAAUAUAAAUAAAAUGCCAAUAACAUUAAUUACUAGAUUACAUAUUACAAAAUUAAAUUAACACAAAUUAAAAAGCUACUACUACUAGUAUAAAUUAGAACAAUUAUUUAAUAAUAUGGGAGAUCAUUAGUUUUCAUAAUGUACUAAUUUAGUUAAUUAAAUGUAAAUUUAAUAAUUUUCUAUAUUUUUUUUGUUAAUAGAUAUAAAAUUGCUUAUUACUUAAUUAUCUAUAUUAAUAGUAAUAUUUAUUGUGUUAAUUGAAUUAAUUCUUAAGAAUUAAAAGAAUAAAAAGAAGAAUAUUUUUUUUAGUGCAAAAUUUGGUAUAAAUAGGUUGGAGAUGAAAUAAUAAUUUAGUGUGAAAAAGAUAUAUUUUUUGUAUUGGUGUUACAUUAAAAUGGUGUUAAGCAUAGGAGAUGCCUUAGGCAUUUGAGUUAGAACCCCCCCUCCCCCCAAAAAAACAAUCCGUUCGGUUUGCAUAUUGGUUCGGAUUUUUUUAACCCGAACCGAAGUACAAACCGAUUGGUUUUAGUUUUUAUCUCAUUGAGGUUUUAAAGGUGAACCCAAAUCGAAUGCCCACCCUUGGCUGCCACAGUUGGGCUGCGGCAAUUAUCAAAUAGUUGAGUAGCUGGAUUCAGUAAUCCCAAACGGGCUGUUGAUACCACGGCCCUGCCCUUUUUGUCAACCCUCUUCCAAGGGUAUGCUAGUUGUUAGGGCAAUUUCUUUUUCUUAUGGACUCAUAAAUUUCAUAGAGAUCGAGGCCCAAUUAAAGGUUUUGCUUCUCUUUUGGAUUAUUUGUCCCAUCAAUUAAGAUUUUCACACUUUUAAGGAGUAAAUUAAAGAUUAUCGUUAAAUAAAUUAUAAUUUACCCCAUUGUUAUUUAUUAAAUGUUGGACCAUCCAUCUAUUUAAGAUAAUAAAAAGGGCGAAGCUUUCCUUUUAUAAAUCCCCAACCUAAGAAUAAAAUCAAGAAGUGUUCUAUAAUGGAUUUACUUUUCUCCAUAUCUACAAUGUCUUGCUAAAGGCACUCAACUUGUUAAAAUAAAAAGAUGUUCAAGGAAUUGAAGGUUGACAGAACACUGAAUAAAAAAAAAGGAGAAGAAGAAGGGUAAAUUGGUCUGUUUCACUACACAUAUUAAUUGAUAUUUUUCAGUUUCUAUAAUAAAAUAGAUCUAUUUUAAUUGUUAUAUUUUUCAGUUGCUUUUAUCAGCAUUGGGUUAUAGUUUUCUCUCAAAAUAUCAUUACUCAUUAAAUUAAAACCUCCAAUAACAGCCAAAUCAAACCUUACCAUAUAAACUUCUCUUUUGCUUAAGAAUGUAAGAAAAGAUUGAUACAUAAAAUGUUAUCUUGCUCACUUUAGAAAUUCUCUUAUCAUGAUCAUUAACUAACUAACAAUGCCUAAAUUUCUAAUAAACUAAUAUUUAGGAAACUAUAACUACCCACAUCGAGAGAAGAAAUCUACCCCUACUAGGGAUGGCAAUUUCCGGGUUCGGGUCCGGGUUUGGCUGUUCCGGAUCCGGACCCAAAAUUUUCAUAACCGGACCCGCAUUAAACCCGGGUUUUUUAAAUCUGGGUUCAACCCGGAAAAAUCCGGGUUUCCGGAUUCCGGGUUUUGAACCCGGAUUGCUUUAUUUUUUUUUUUAGAGACCAUAUAACUUACUUUAACAAGGCACAGGGGAUGGGGUUUAAUGUUUUAAUCUUUUCCCCAACAACACAUUACACAAUUCUUCCUAGAAUUGGUUCAAUAAAUUUUGAUGGAUAAAAGGCAAAAAAAAGAACAUAUAACACAUCAGUGACAUCACUAGACUACUAGAACCAAAUUGUUUAACUUUGGUUCAUCAAAAUUUGCUGGACACAGGGCCAAAUAACAGAACAUAAUAACACAUCCAGCUUCUAAAACAAAUACAACACAAAUACACAAUAUAAAAUCUAAAAUUAAAAGUUUUAAAGUAAUAAACAUCCACACAUACAAAUUCAUAACAUAAUUCUAUAAUUUAAAGCUGAAAUUUCCAGCCACUGCCCACUAGUGCUCAGAUUUCCAGCCACUGCCCACAGCCCACCAGUGCUCAAAUUUCCAGCCACUGCCCACCUUUGGCUAAUUAUACUUCAAAUUCAAUUCUAAGCUUGCUCACUAACCAACUCUUAAUGCACAAAACCAACAAUACGCGGCAGAAGAAAAAUGGCAACUGUUCUGUUUUAGACAACAGUUUCUCCUUGUGCCAGAAAAACAAAGAACAAAAAGAGGCAAAUAAUUCAGAAAAAUAAAAAGCUUAUAAUUAGUCAAGUGCUCUCAUAUGUCAUAUACAAAGAAAACCAUGUCUGAGGAAAAAUCAAAUUGUGCCAGCAGCAAUACAAGCUCAAAGCAUAACAGCACAAAAAUUGCAAAGAGGGAAAAUCAAAGUGUAAUAGAGCAUAAAUUGUAAAGAGAAAAGCCGAGACUCACAAAUAUUCACAGCGGCAGCUGAAGUAUAUGCUGAUGAACACAGAACACAGCAGCGAGGCUGAGGUGGAUUUCAACCCCUUUUGCUGGCCGCGACAGAGUGAGAGAUCAGACGAGUGAUGAAACGAACAAAGCCUCGCCGUGAAGGUGAUGACAAGCCACGACGCGAAGGAUCUGAUCUGAUCUGAAGAAGAGAUUACAAGAGAGUUGCAGAGAGAGUGAGAGAGAUUAAGUGACGAUGGAGGACUGAGAUGAGCAAUGAGUCACGGCUCACGGGUGAGAGAGAUUGAGAGAGGAACGGAUUACGGUUUACGGAUGAGACUUGAGAGAUUGAAAGGAGAAAUUACAGAUUUACAGUAAUUUUUUUUAGGUUGAAGGAGAAAUUUCGAGAGAGGAUUAGAGGAACGAGACGAGAGAGAUCUAGAUUCUAGGGUUCACUUUCGUUUUCGUUUUUUUUUUAAUUUUUCUAUUUAUAAUUAUGGAUUUACGAAUCAAAAUUAAUAUUAAAAUAAAUAAUAUCCGGGUCCGGGUUCCGGAUUUGCGGGUUCACCUAAAACCGGAUCCGGACCGGAAAAAUGCGGGUUGUCAAAAACUGAUCCGGAUUCCGGAUAAAAACUAUGCCGGUGCGGGUUGAACCCGGACCGGAUUUUCCGAGUUCAAUCCGGAUCCGAUCCAGGUCCGGGUUUGAUUGCCACCCCUAACCCCUACCCAAUAAUAAGAGGAGAAUAAGAGUCCUUGCGGCCUGAACCCACUCUCCCUCAACGUUUUUUGAGAGGGUGAAUCACCACUGAAUUAUGAUAUAUCUAGCUGGUGCCCUUUGUUUGAAAUGUGAAAAAGAAAAAAAGAAUAUAACACAAAGAUCACUAAUGCAAAAUAAACUAAGUAAUUAUAAUGUAUAAGGUAGUUUUUUUUUUCAAUUUCUAUUUGAGAAGGAUUAUUCACAUGUAGUCUAGUAACUACUUUUGAACUUGCAAUGUUGCUUAAUUUAUGGCUCAAGAGUGUUGGACUUUAGGCGAUGAUACACAAUCAUUCUUUUCUUGUACCACAGCUAACAAUGAUGUUGCUAUAGGCAGCCGUCCAGGCCUCCACAUUGAAAACAAUAUUGCUACAAUUAUAUUAAUAGGUGGGACGGUGGUAAAUUGUUGAUUUUUAUGUCCCUUUAUAUUGCCAUUUCACACAUUCAUUGACCAAAAACUGUUUGGGCAAGCAAAUGAAAUGAAAUCUGUUUUGAAUUUAACAUACAACUACCAACAAUGGUGACCCUAAUGAAUUAAUAAUUGUCCUCGGGAGUUGGUUUUUGUUGCACCGAAUAUUAAUUAAUUUCUCUUGUGAAUUUGCAUAACCUGUGUUGUCUUGGUACCAGCUCGAGCACGUUCUGCCAUUAAUGCUGCAAUAUCUGAAACUUAAUUCGAUCUCCAAUUUCAGGCCGUUGUGUUUUUUCUUCGAUGUUGUUAGAACAUUAGUUUAAGUUGUUUCCUACUUUCCUUGCAUCAAUUGUAAGGCUGUUCAGUAGCAUUUAUUACGGCUUUAGAUCUUUUUACUGAUCUUUCAGAAACAUACAAUUAAUAGUUAUUAGAUUAUAAUAUAAAACUAACGAAACGUUAGUCUUAUUUUGUUAUAUCUAAACGUGUCAUCAAAAAUUAUAAAGAGUUAAAAUACAUAUCAACUCAACACUGGAUUCAAAUCUACAAUACAAUUAUUUCAAAUAUUUAGAUACUUCCCAAAAAAAAUUUAUGGUUGAUCUCCAAAUUUUCAUGUAUUGUGCAUAAUAUACCAAAAAUUUAACUUUUAAAACGAAAAAAAAAGUUUGAGGAGUGUGCCCAAGAAUUUGAAUUUUUUUUUUUAAGGAAAUAAUUCCAUUAACAUUAAGAACUACAAUUCUCAAAGAUAACAACAUAGGUGUGGUAGAAAAUCUUCCAACCAAAAAUAAAAAUCCUUACAACGGGCUGAAUAUUUUGCUAAAGCAUCCGCUGCUGAAUUACAAACCCUUGGGACACGUCGAACUUGAAAAGAAUGCUUUGGAGAAGGUAAGUGCUUCACUUCAUAAAUAUGCCAAAACAAGUUAUGGGACAAGCAAUAAUCUAAAGAAUUGAUUCCUUGACUGAUUCCUACAGCCUUAGCCACAUAACAUCAUUAGAGAAAACCCCUUGAUUGAUUCCUGCAACCAUCACCAAACCAUAACGGUUGCGCAUAAUAGCACCACAACCCACUACACCCUUAUUUGCAUCUACUGCAUCAAUAUUCAUUUUCAUCCAAUCCAUAGGUAAUGGCUCCCACUACAGAUCCUCAUGCCUAUUACUACUCAAUUUACAAUCAACACUAGUGAUAGCAAUAUUGGCAAAGGACUCCAAAAUUCUUGAGCCUAUGCACAUAAUAUUUUGUGGCUUACUAGAUUGUCCCCCAAGCAUCAUAUUGUUUUGUGCCUCCCAAAUACACCACAUAAUCAUCAUCAACAAGCAUAAUUCAAUGCUAGAUAAGGUGGAAAUAACAUACUCAAGAAAACCCCAACAAUUAUUAACACAAUCACACAAAAAUAAAUUUGGAAAAAUUGCAUCCUUCCACGCUUGUUGUGCAAAAUCACAAUGAAACAAAGAAUGCAUCAGGGUCUCAUAUGAAAGGUUACACAAGCUACAACAAGCAUCAGACAAUACCCUUCUAUUUGUUAGAUUAGCCUUUGUCAGAAGAACAUUAUUAAGAGCUUGUCAAAGGAAAAUCUUUACCUUAGGUAGCAACUGAGGAAUCCCAAAUCUAUAUAGCCAAAUGAUACCUAGAUUUUUAAGUAUACAGCCCACAAUUAUCAAAAUCCAAACACACAGCAUCUUCCAUCGGCAUAAAAGGGAGCGUCAAUUUUAGAAUCAGUUCAACAUUCGUUCCCAUGGUCAAUCAGAUAAUCCACUAUCGUCCUAGUGGUAGUGAAAUUGGUUGAGAUAAGCCUGAAAGUACUUGGUCUUGGCAGCCAAUUACUAUCAUAAGCAUUAAUGCUAUGACCAUUUCCAACACACCGACAAAGACCUGUUGUGAUAGUACUCGUCCCCACAGAAUACUCUGCCACAUAUAAGAAAGAUUAGAGCCUAAAUCUACAUGGAAAAAAAGGGUUGUGCCGAAAAUUUCUAGUUCAAAACACCCUUGAAACCAGCAAAUCAUCAUAAAACAACAACCGCCACCCUUGCUUAGUCAGCAUGGCUUGGUUAAAACAAAAAAGAGUGCUGCUAAACAUCGGGAACCUUGAGAGAACCCUGAGAGAAAUGGCAGCUUGUGCUGCCGUUUCGUUCUUUCACCUUCCCCCCCCCCCCCCCCCCCCAACAUGACUAAGAGAAAUAUGUCCCCCAUGUGAAAAAGACUCCCUUUCAACUCCUUUUCCUUCUUCGCUUUCACAGCUCCGUUCCAGUACUCCCUUUCAACUCCUUUUCCUUUCUAUUUUCAACUCCUUCUCCAGCACUCCCACAUGAACUCCAACUCCUUUUCCUUUUGUUCACUCCAACAGCAACUCACUUCGUCUCAGCCUUCCCGACAUUACAGCAGCUUCGUCUCCGUCUGUCUCCCUAGCUUCGUCUCCGUCUUCUCUCGCUCCAGAUCUAAUUAGUGGUCGCUGCUAUCGGUGGUCGAAAACGAGUUUCCUCUCACUCCCUCCCCCCUCUUACUCUGUUUUUCCUCUCACUCCAGCAGCAGCUUCGUCUCAGCCUUCCCGACGUUACAACAGCUUCGUCUCCAUCUCCCCAGCUUCGUCUCCGUCUUCUCUCGAUCCAUAUCUAAUCGGUGGUCGCUGCUGUCGGUGGUCGGUGGUCACUCUCUCCGUUUAGUUGGUAAUUAUUUUUUGAUAAUUAAUUUAUGAUAAUUGUUGGUAAUUUUGUUUGGUAAUUAUUUUGUUGAGUGAUUAUUUUGUUGGGAAUUAUUUUGGUAAUUGUAUUGUUGAUAAUUAUUUUAAUAAUUAAUUUAUGAUAAUUGUUGGUAAUUUUGUUUGGUAAUUAUUUUGUAGAGUGAUUAUUUUGUUGGGAAUUAUUUUGGUAAUUGUAUUGUUGAUAAUUAUUUUAAUAAUUAAUUUAUGAUAAUUAUUGGUAAUUUUGUUUGGUAAUUAUUAUAAGAGUGAUUAUGUUGUUGGGAAUUACUUUUUGAUAAUUAUUUUGAGAAUUACUUGUUGAUAAUUAUUUUUGGAUAAUUGUUGGUAAUUUUGCAAAUAAUUAUUUUGUUGAAAUUUUUGUUGAUAAUUAUUUGGUCAAAACUGCCGGUUGGGUAUAAGUUUUUGUUGGUAACUACUUGGUGAAAAUUGUCUGUUGGUAUAUGUAUUGCACAUGUUGAAAAUUUUGCUAGUAAUAAUGACACGUUUUCAUAUCCACCAGUUUCAACAACAAUAGAAUUAAAAUUCCUAGCAAUGUUAAUUCCUACACAAUCAUUCAUUUCAAUACGCUUUCUUGCACUUGCACUAAUGUUGCGGUUCCAAGAAAAAUAUCUAGCUUUGUCCGGACUCAAUCCAUGAUUGUGUUCAAGGUUUAAAGUUCGAAGAAUCCAUUUUCCAUCUUCAUUUACACAACCUCCAAUUCUAGCAUCACAACCAGUUUUUGCAAUAGGUUUUGGCUUCAGCACAUCAGUAGAUUUACUUUCUGACUUGCCACUACGACCACAUGCAAACGUCGUGAACCGUAUAAUUCCAUCGCUCCCUUUCUUACUAGUUAGCUUCUUAACAGGAAACCCUUCUUGUUUACCAUAGGCUUUGUAAAAUUACCACAUUUCCUCAUGGCUAUCAAAUAACAUCCCAAGAGUCGGCUCAUAUUUUUCCGAUUAUGCAUCUUCGACUCCAUCUUCAUGUUCCAAAUUAUAUAUUUCUACAAAAUAAUUAAUAUUUGUAUUAAGAAUAAAUUAUUAUCAAUUUAUACAAACACCAUCCAGCAAUAAUUUAAUCCAUUAAAGUUCUAAAAAUUUAAAUAAAAAAUGAUAAAUCGAACACAAUUUAAAUUUAAAAAAUUCAAUGUGGAAAUAAAAUUUAAAUUAAGAAUAAAUUAUUAUAAAUUUUUCCAAACACCAUCCAACAAUAAUUUAAUCCAUUAAAGUUCUAAAAAUUUAAAUUAAAAAAAUUAUAAAUCGAACACAAUUUAAAUUAAAAAAAAUUCUAUGUUCAAACAAAAUUUAAAUUAAGAAUAAAUUAUUUAAAAAUUUUCCAAACACCAUCCAUCAAUAAUUUAAUCCAUUAAAGUUCUAAAAUUUAAAUAAAAAAUGAUAAAUCGAACACAAUUUAAAUUUAAAAAAUUCAAUGUGGAAACAAAAUUUAAAUUAAGAAUAAAUUAUUAUAAAUUUUUCCAAACACCAUCCAGCAAUAAUUUAAUCCAUUAAAGUUCUAAAAAUUUAAAUUAAAAAAAUUAUAAAUUGAACACAAUUUAAAUUUAAAAAAUUCUAUGUUAAAAAAAAUUAAAUUAAAAAAUUCUAAAUCAAACAUAUAAUUUAAAUAAAAAGAUUUCUAAAAAUUCUAAAUCAAACACAUUAUCAUUUAAUCAGUAAAUGCAGGUACAUUUCUAUUAUUAUGAUAUAACAAAAAAUAAUAAAAAAAUAAAAAAUUAUUCUUUAAGCUGAGAUAAUUACCAACUGGGUGUUGCUUCAAGAUCUAGAUCGGCCACUUAUUGGAUGAGCUGAAGUAAUGGCUUGUGAUGAGCAAAGAAGUGAACGAGAAAUGAACGAGAAGUGAACGAGCAACUGAUCCCUGAGAAAACUUAGCUUUGCUUGGUCAUGAGCCGGAGUGAGCUUUGGGGACUGGUGACUUUCACGUGGGGGGCCAGAUUUCACUUGGCAAAAGUGAAUUGAGUGUGGGGCCUACUCCUGCUUUUUGUUGACCAUUUAAGAAAGUGUCGUGAAAUAGAAGAAAAAACUAAUAAAAGGGAGUGUUUUUACACGCAGGGGGCCAGAUUUCUCUUAGUCAUGUUGGGGGGGAGCUGAGAGAAUGAAACGGCAGCACAAGCUACUGUUUCUCUCAGGGUUCUCUCAGCUUUCCCGACCUUUAGCAUUUCUCAACAAAAAAAGAUCCUGAAACCUAAGAUCCCUUAACUUUUUGGUUGAGUCAUCCUCCUUCAUCUUGUUUUUCAACAAUUCCUUCCAAUAAUAGCUGAUAAGCCAAAUAUCAUUCAUAAUUCGGAACCUCAACAAGAUCGAACAAAGCAGUUAUCUUGCUCCGAACAUUUUGAGCUAAAUUCGGACUAAAAAGAAUAAAAGAUUUGUUAUAGUAAAAAAUUUGCCUUAAUGCCACAGAAUAAUAAUCAAAGAUGCUCUUUAGCCUGCCACAGUUCUCUAAAGAUUCUCGAUAAAAAACAAGAUUGUCAUCCGCAAAAAAAAAAAAAAAAAAAAAAGAUAGGAAAUGAAUAAAUCACAAGCAAAACAUACCCUUUGGAUAGCCUUUAUAGAUUCACUAGCAUGGAUCAUCAUAGAAAAAACUUCAGCACAUAGAAUAAAUAAAUAGGGCGACAUGGGACACCCCUACCGCAAUUCUCGCUGAGGCUGACACGAACCCCGUACUUAUUCAUUUAUAUUGAACAAAACAUUGAUGUAGUGCACAAGCAAUAAUCAACCUAAUCCACUGCUCAAAAAGACCAAACCAUACAUCACUUGUUGUGAAAAACCCCAUUCAACCCAAUCAUAUGCCUCUACUAUAUCCAACUUCAUCGUUACUAAGCCGUUCUUAUAAGAUUUACAAGACCGCAGUUUAUGCAAGCAUUUGUACCCAACUCUGACAUUGUCGGUAAUCAAUCUAUUCGAAAUAAAAGCACUCUGGUUAUGUGAAAUGACAUCACCCAAAACUGACUUUAGUCUAUUGGCAAUAGCUUCUGUAACAACUUGAUAAAUAAUAUUGCAUAAACUAAGUGGUCAAAAAUUAGAUACAAUAGUUGGAGAUUUAAUCUUUCGUAUGAAAACCACAAUUACAUGAUUUGAAUCAGUGAGGGAAGCACCGUUAUUUUUUUUUUUAUUAAAAAAAGUGGAUAUAACUUGAGUACACACCACACCCUAAUGAUCUUGAAAUAAAGCAGGGGGCAGACCAUCUAGUCCCUAUGCCUUAAUCAGAUGCAUUUGCAUCACAGCUUGACGAACCUCAUCCUUGGAGAAUGAUAAAGUCAAAUCCUUAUUCCCAACAUCCAUAACCCUCACAAGCACAUGUUUUACAGUCGAUUCCCAUUACUGAUUAGUUGGAUUUGACGAAGAAAACAACUUUAUCAAUUAUUGUUCAACAAUACUUCCCAUCUCAGUCAUAUUUGUAUCCAUCUGACCCUCUUGAUCUAAUAGUCCCUUAAUCAAAUUCCGCCGUUGCCUCAUGGAAGCAUAAGAAUGAAAAAAAAAAAAAAAACAGCGUAUUCUUAUCCCCUUCCUUCAUCCAUGAAACGUGAGCCCUUUAUUUCCAGUAUAAUUGCUAUUUGUGAAACAAGUCAUCAAUCUCUCUCUAAAAGCCGAAGCCCAUUAGCAUCACUGUAAUGUCUGUAAGUUUGUCAAAAAGCCUUUAAUUCUGAAUACUUGUCAUAGAAGCGCUGAUGCCACCCUUUAAAUUACACCAAACUCCAUUUAGUAAGGGCAGACAUAGUUUUCGCAACCUUAUAUUGGAAAAGCCAAACAGGAUCACCCUGAGUAGCAGCACCUAGCCAACAAUCACUGACUAGACCUGUACAAGCUGGAUAAGCCUUCCAGCCCACUUCUUAGUGAAAACGAGCCUUCAACCUUCUAUCUUGCAAAGAGUCCUCUGAACUAGUAAUAUCUAAAAGAAUAGGACAAUAAUCCAAUCACCAAAAAUCAAGAUAAGUAACUGUUGAACAUUAGCCCAAAUCUUGUCAAGCACAGUUACUAAAAAACCUGUCUAGGCAUUCCUCCACCAAACCCACAUCAUGCCGCCGAUUAGCCCAAGUUAGGGUUGGCACUAUAUGGUUCGGUUAGGUUUAGAUAGAAAAUCGAACCGAACUGAAACUGAUUGGUCCUCUCAAAUUAAAACCGAAUGCAACCCACAAUUUAAAACCAAACCGAAUCGAUGGUUGUGUGGUGCGAGAAGAGCGGCUGCCAACUGCGUGUAUGGUGUCAGAGAGGAGCAGUUUCCAGUGGCAGAAAUAGGAUGUGCUGAUCAGAGUGUGAGAGUGUGUUGCCGCUGUGUUUGAGAGAUGAGUGUGUGAGAUUUAGGUUUCCGCUCAAUCUAUAUAUAUAUAUAUAUAUAUAUAUGAAUAUUAAAAUAUUUUUAUUUUUAAAUGAAAGAACCCAAUGGUUUUUUUGUUCAGUUCGGUUUUGUGCUAAACCAAAUACAAACCAAUCGGUUCUUUAAUUUCCAAACCAUUUGGGCUUUAUCUUUAAAACCAAAUUGAACUUAAUCAAAAAAUAUUGGUUCAGUUUGGUUCGGUUCGAUAAAAACCGAACCGAAUGCCCACUCGUAGCCCAAGUAUAUGGGCACCCCACAAAUCCCAUAUCAGUUAAUUCACAAUCCUAAAAAAAAGAAAGAGAUUGUACACCAAGGUGGCCAUUGUCUUUGUACAAUUUUAAAGUAGAAUUAGCAAUAAAUGCAUGGGUGGGGAUAUUUCCACCCCAUUAUUUGUGUAAACCCACUCCACUUCUAAAAAAUAUUUACAAUAAAUGCACAUUUUUUUCUAAUAAAUACAAAUCAACAAAAAAUUUAUAUAGUUAAUCAAUUAAAUCGUUCUUAUAUUUUUUCUUACUUAGUUUUUUUUUACUAUUAAAGCAGCUUUAAUAUAAGUUCUAUUUAAUUAUUUUGCUUUAUGACAUAAAAUGACCCACUUGCCCGAAAAAAAUGUGUUCUUGUAUCUAAUACUUUAGGUACUUAAUUUUGUAACUUAUAAUCUAACUUCUUAAAUGAAGUCUAAUAAUUUUUAAUAUUUUACAUGCAAAUGACAUAAAUUUGACAGUCUAAUAAUUUAAUGAGUAUUUUCUCAUAAAGACAUUAUGUUAGUUUAAUUAAAAUUUGAUAAUCAUACUAAUAAAGUAGAAUUAACUAUUUAGAAACAAUGAAUUUUGUAUAAAAUUAAAAAAAUUUGUUGAAGUUAAAUUAAAUUUUUGGUAUUUUUACCUUUUAAAGAUAAAAUAGUCAAUUUAAAUUUAGGUUAAAGUAAUCUUAUUAGUCAAAUAUAAUAAAAAAUUUUAAGUCACAACAAAAUAAAUGAAGAUAUAUUUUAUUGAUUAAUUCUUUUGAAUUCUUCUUUAUUUGAAAAUUUAAAAAAAAAAUUUGUAAUUAUUUUCUAAAAAUGGGGUGGAUUUGCAGAAUUUGUGGGGUGUAAAUAUCACCACACUAAAUGCAUAUACCUAAACUUUGUUAAAGCAAAGUUUGUGGUCCGCGAGUACUAUAUUUAUUUAUAAAUUAGUCCCUGAACUUUAAAAUCUUGAGGUUUUAACCCAAGUUUUACUUACUUGUUUUUAUGUUGUGACCCCUACUAUAUUCACCUCUAUGAUGUUUGACCUGUUAAAUUUUAAAUUCUAGCUCCACCCCCCUAAUUACUAGGUCGAGACCCACGUAUAGGAAGAACAAUCAACAGACUGCAAUUUUUGAAAUCACGAAUUCACUGAUACUAAUUGGUUUAGAUAACAUAUUUCUGGUCUUAAAAAAUAAUUUAGCACUAUACUUAAUAUAAUAUAUGCUAUCCUAAUAUACUAGUAUAAUCGUACUUGUAGAGUUUAAUUAAGUUCUAUUUAUCGCUAUUAAUUUGUCAAGAGAUAAAGGAGUUAAUUAUUUCGUCAACAAAACUUACUGAAUAUUAUUAAUUUAUGCUAUAAUCUGGUAGUUUUAUUUCUACCUCAAUGAAUAUUUUGAACCACAGAGGAUUACGCAUGCGUAUGGCCUUUGUUAGUGAUGUCGAGUCUUACCAUACAAGUUUAGACUUUUUGGUCAAGUACUUCAUCAAAUAUCAAAGCAAAAGUCUCAAAUUUUGAUCUAUUGCAAAUUUGUAAUGAUGAUCGAUUUUAAUUUUAAUUAAUUUUUCUUUUUCAAGCUCUUGCGUCAAUCUUAUGAAUCUCUUUUCUUAGCUCGUCUACUUUUUUUAGGCUUUUGUCUGAAUUUCUUAAAUUCAUAUUUGACACGAGAAAUUAUAUUAAGUGUCUGUUUGGUAUGACUUAUUUAAUUGCCAUAAGUGCUUAUUUAAGUACUUAUUUAAUCUCAUAAGCUCUUAUUAUAAUUUUUGUUAUUGUUUGGUUAUUUUUUUAGUAAUACUUUCAGAGCUUAAAUAAGUUAUUUUGCCUCUAUUAGAAAAAGCUCAAAAUUUGAACUUUUGAGAAUAGAGGUUGAAAUUUUUUUUAAAUGUUAAAAUAUCUAAAAUAUCAUCUACUUAUUUGACAAUCUUAUUUUAUUCUUUUCAUAACAUAAUUUAAAAAAACUUGUCCAUCAAAGUAAUUUCAUAAAUUUUUAAUAAAAGCUCUUAUUGACAACCAAACAACUAAAAUUUUUAUGCAAAAAUUUUAUUUGUAUAAACUCUACUAUCAAAAGCUUUACUUAAAUAAACUUUAAUGAAAAAUUGUACCAAACGGAGUCUAAGACGUAUUUGAUUUUAUUUUUGUGACUUGACCUGUCAAUUUAAACUUGAAAACAAGUCUUUGAUUAGGGGAAACCUGUGGACUGAAUAUUAGUGGACCAAUCGUUGGAUGUCAGUGGACCCCAUUAAUCCAAGUGCAUCCAACGACUGGAUGCAACUGUGGCACGGUACUACAGUUGCACCGUAGUCUGAUCCCUUUGAUUACCCUAAAUUAGAUCCUUACAAAUCAAACUUAAAUUUUUGAUCCAGCAAUUGAUCUAAUUUAGCUCCCAUAGGUCAUAAUCAUGACGUGCUUGAAAAGACACUGCCAUGUACUAGGUUUCAUUUAUUUAGUCGCUCUGUAUCUUGACUUGAAUUAAGUUCAAAGCUUGAAAUAUUUCGAGAAUUGAUACAAAAUAGUGCAACGUAUAUACAUUCUUGUCCGAAUAAAGAGUAAUUAAUAGUCUUGAAAAUACUUCAAAAGUCCACAAAGUGUAACAAUUCUAUCGAAGAGUUUAUGGAUAUAUUUAUAAUACAUUGAUAAUAUCUAUUUGGUUAUUGAACUGAGUUUGUUCAUUUUUUAUUAACUUUUUAACUUAUUUAUCGUUUUUAAGUUUUUCUUUGAAUUUCUCGAAUCCACAUUUUACAUUAAGAAUUUAUGUUCAAAUGUAUUUAAUUUUAAUUUUGGAAACUACAGCUAUGCCCUGAUAUCAUUUUUUUUUUCAAAUCUUCUUGUAAAGCAAAUAAACUAAAUAAAUGUGUUUAUGAACAUUUUAACCAUUGAUUGAAAGAUACAUAUGAUAAUUAAAAAAAAUAUUAUUAAACAUAGAGCAAUGCAUCUAAAACAACCGAGAUUUUUCAUAUAUUCUUUUUAUUCAUACUUAUCUAAACUUAAGUAAAAUUUAAAUUUAUUUAGACUUUCAGAUUAGAAAUGGGAAAAGGAAAAUCUACAUAAUUUAAUAUAUUAAUUUUUCAUACUAGAUGAAUCCAAAAAGUUCUAAAUAGUAUAAUAUUCAGUCUGUCCAACUUUGAGUUUCGUUCUUUCAAAGGUUAACCAAAAACUAGAAAGAUCCCAUUAAUUAAUAAAUUAUGUAGGUAAUAAAAUUCAAGGCCCAAAAUAAUUUGGUGGGCACUACCUCAUGGCUGAUGUCACGCCAUAAUGACUGUUUUUUUUAUUCUUCCACUCAAAAGAAAAUGUUCCUCGAAUAAUUUACGGACACAUGCAAAAUAAACAAAUUAGGUUUUGAAAGAGGGUACUUUAAAAUUGACAGUGUUGUAUCUUCUAGCUCAGACGCCGUCAUAUAGUUAAAAAAAAAUUAAUAAAAAUCAAUAAAAUUUCAUUUAUCUGACGUUGUCUGGACUGUUGGAAAUGUUAUUUCAAUGGUAUUGUAUUCACAAUUUAAAAAAGAAUAUUGUUUAAAUUAAAAUAAGUUAGGAUGAUAUUGUUGGGACAAAGCUUGUUUAAUUUUUUUUACCCUUUAUUAUAACCUGUUCUAAUUCUUAUUAUCAAAUCAAGAUCGUUAAUUUCGUUUAAAACUUUAAAAUGAAAGAGAAUAAUUUUAAUCAGGUUGUGAUUCAAAAGUGAAUUUGUAAGAUAACUAAAUAAAUUAGAAUUUUUGUAAAUAGCAUAAAGUAGAAGGGGGCUGAAUGUUAUUAUAUCCAAGAUCAGAGUACGCAAAAUGGUGCAAAUGUCGGGUCUCCAAAGUUAUCUAUUUUCACGGCUGGCCCACUCAACCCCGCUGUUUAAUAUUUUUUUAUUUUUUAAAUUAUAAGUUGAAAUAAACGUAAUUUAGGGAAAUUCUAUGCUAUAUUGGAUUCCUUUAUUUAUAGUGUGUAAGUGGACCAAUCACGAAUUGCCAAGAUUUAAGGACAAAACGGACACUUGGCAGAACAAGAGGGCUCACCCGAUCCGAAUCAUUCGUGCGUCUUUCAUUCCUUCGCGUCUCGUCUGAUUAAUUUGCUUCACCUGUUUGUUUGUCUGCCAAGCGGUAUCAUCGAUCCAGCAAAAGCCGUCUCCUUUGAUUUUCCAUGCCAAAGCAAAUUUGUCUGGCGUGAUUACCGAUGGAAAUUUAAUUAACAAAUAAUCAUCAACUGAAUCAAAUUCAAAUUUGUUUGGAAUAAAAAUCAACACACGAACAGUAAGAAUCUACCAAAAGUAUGUAUUUCUCUUUUUGUUACGGAGAUGUAACAAAUGAGUGAUCCAUUUUUUUUUGUUAUUUUUCUUUUUCUUAAAAGUAAAAGAGUGCUGAAAAAUCUAAAUAAUUUAUUAUUACUAUUUUUGUAAUCUUGUAUCUCUUUUACAAUUCGAAUUGAGAUGACCCAAAAGAAUUGUCUAAGAAGAAGCAGUCAGGUAAAUCCUUAGAAGCAGAUUCUUUCCUUUGCGUAGAUGAAUUGAACAAAAACUUGUCAAUUAAACGAAUUGGUAGGGAUUUGAUGUGUUAUUAUAUUACAUGUUAAUGCAUGCAACUGAUCAAAACAUUAAUGUUAUCAAGGUAUAUUAAUAGGAUUUUAUUAUUAUAAGAUUGUUGUAACAUUCCCUCUUUUUGGAUUCUCGAUACGUGUUUUUUUUUAUAAUUAUUAUAAAGUCAUAAAUAUACAUAUGACAAGAAUCAACAAGUACUUGGCUUAUUUUUGUUUAUAUUAUGCAUUAAUUUGUGAUAAUUUAUAAGCUUUUAAUUAAUAAGCACGAACUGGUUGGGAUUUGGUGAUGCAUUAUAUUAUGCAUUAAUGCAUGCAUGCAGUUGAUCAAAACAUUAAUGCUGUCAAGGUAAAGGGUGGUGGUCGACAUAAAACCACAUUUUAUGCGCACAGCCACAUUAAUUAAUUUUUUUUUCUUAACCAUGAGGUAUUUUGGGAAUGGUCCCAACUGUGGGAAGGACCUUUAAGCCCAUACCACAAUUCAGACUAGAAGUUUCCGCUCAAACCGGGAGACGCAGGUUCUCCCAACAAAGGCGACUUCUCUGCGACUCGAACUGGGGAGCAAACCCAAUCAAGCCACUUAAGGGGACUCCAUUGCCAGUGGAGCCAACACUUUGUUGGUAGCCACAUUAAUUAAUAUGUCAAUUUUUAAACGUAAAAUUUUAUUUAAUUCCCCAAAUUUUUUUUGUUUUGUUUUUUUUUUUUCCUUUUUCUUGAGAAAACAGAACAGAACUUGUGGUAUGUGUCAUUCUCCAUGGCCAACGUUUCUGACUCUCUUUCACACAACUCUACUUCUUCCCUUUCAAUUCACUAAACACAUGCACAUAACUAUCGAGAUCCAAUUUAUAUCUAACGACGAGAUCUCAACAAUUCGUAGAGCCGUAACAACUUUUCACAUUUUCACCUCUUAGGAUCUGGGUUAAUUAUUUAAUUAGUCUUCAAAUCGAGAAUAUUUAAUAGAUUUAAAGAAACAUACAACGGGGAUAUUAUGGAUAAUUGACUCAAACCCUAGAGACCAUGAUAAUAUUUAGCUUAAUAGAACUUAUUUAAAUCAUUGUCUUAAUAUUUUGAGAAAGUUUUACAUAAUCUGUAUGGCCACGUAUAUUUGAUUCUUACCAUAUGUACUUGUUAACCAAUCAAGUCAGAAUUUACAUUUGAUAGGAAAGAAUCUAUUAUAUAUAUAGAGAGAGAGAAUAAUAAUCUCCUAUGAGACAGUACUCAUCUAACUGUGAGCGACACUGUCACGUAGUCUUGUCUAAUAAGUCCACGAUCUUAAUAUUGUUUUCAAACUACAUAUGAACACACAAGAACUUCCCCACGUAAAUAAAGAAAAUAAAUUAAUUCACUAUUUUUUUAAAAAUUUUUUAAAGUCCUUUAUAAGAGACGCCCUGGCAAACAGAAUUGAUUAAGCCCAACGGCCAAGACAAGGCAGUAGUGCAUGCACACACUGUAAAAUUCUCUUGGCCAUUAUGCCUCUAAACAGCAACAUUCUUCAAUGGCUUAGCCUUGUGGGGGCGAUAUGGCUUCAAUCCAUAAACGGAACCAACUCCAACUUCCCUGCUUACUCCUCUCAACUCAAGCAACUCCUCUCCCUCUCCCAGCUCCAACUCAACAACCUCGCCUUCGCUUCCGACGCCGGAAAACUCUUCGGUUGGAUCUCCGGCGUCGCCUCCGUCUACUUGCCCCUCUGGCUUGUCCUCCUCAUCGGUUCCACUCUCGGCUUGAUCGGCUACGGCUUGCAAUACCUCUUCUUAACGCACACCAUUUCCCAUCUCUCUUAUGCCCAUAUUUUUUUGCUCACUGUUUUAGCCGGCAACAGCAUCUGUUGGAUCAACACCGUCUGUUACGUAGUCACUAUUAAAAAUUUCCCAUUUGAUCGCCAAGUCGCCGUGGGGAUCACGUCUAGUUACCUGGGGUUGAGUGCAAAACUUUACACUAGUGCUGUUAAUGCUAUAGAAACUUCAUCACCAAACAAAAGGGCUAAACUGUAUCUCCUUUUCAACUCUAUAUUCCCUUUACUAGCUUGCGUUGUUACAUCACCGGUUGUGAGAGAGAUUGGUGAUCAUGUACAAGAAUCAUCAUCAUCAUCUAGAAGAAGAACGAGAGGUGGGUUUGUUUUCAUGUUUUUUGUAACAAUAGUCACCGGAUGCUACGCCGUUUUGGGAAGCUUGGACUUGUCCAAGUUGAAGACUCUACUGCCACCGGUUAAGAAUUUGAUUGGUAUUGUCAUUUGCUUAUUAGCACCGCUAGUGAUUCCAUUAGGGGAGAAAAUUAGAUGUUUUGUUGAGGAUAAAAGGUUGAUAAAUAGAGUUAAAAGGGUGCAUAAUUCGACCAGUAUUGAGGAAGUUUCAUCAAGAUUGGAGAAUGGGGUGGCGACGAAAGAAGAGGAGGAUCAUCAACUGAGAGAUGAUGAUAGUGAUGGGAUUUAUCAUGGGUUGGGUGCUAAGGAAGAAAUUGGAGCCAUGCUGAUGCUACAAAGAGUUGAUUUUUGGUUGUAUUUUUUUGUUUAUUUCUCUGGUGCAACACUUGGCCUCGUGUUCUUGAACAACUUGGGACAAAUCGCUGAGUCCCGUGGCUGCUCCGGAACUUCUUCUCUUGUCUCCUUAUCCUCUUCAUUUGGUUUCUUCGGCCGCCUCAUCCCGUCGCUUUUCGGUUACUUUUUCUCAAGGUAAAUUAAUCAACUUAUAUCUCUUUUAUCUCCCUAUUUUUCAUAGGCAAAACAGCCGCGACGCCCUGUGGUUUGAUUAAGUGAUUUGAAAAACACUCUAUUGUUAUAAAAACAAAUGGUUAUACAGUCUUAAGUUUUAAUUUCUUUAAGAUUUAAAAAAAAAAAAUCACACUGACACAUGUUAAAAUUUGUUCAAAAAAGAGAUCCGAAUGAUCAUAUGUAGAAACAAGAGGGUAUCUAUAUCCCCCAUAUCCCUAUAUAAACCACCACGAAGUGACUAAUGAAUGUACUUUUCCAUUCUUUUCUCAUUAGGAUUUUCCUUUUGCUUUUUUUUUUUAAUUUAUUUAUUCAGUGGUCUAAUCAAAUGGUUGCAUCUACUUCCGAGAGGUGUUUAAUGGGAAAAAAAAAAGCAUGUACAUGAAUAUCCAUUUGACUUUUGCGCAAGCAAACUUUUAAUUUAUCUUUUAUCUUUUUUUACAGGAGUAAGCACAUGAUUCCAAGUCCAGCUUCAAUAGGAGCAUUAAUGGCACCAAUGGCAGGAGCUUUUAUGCUACUUCUCAACGAAACCAACGUAGCUCUGUACACAAGCACUGCCAUUAUAGGUGUAUGCAGCGGAGCAAUUACUUCGAUAUCGGUGACCACAACAACCGAGCUGUUUGGGACCAAGAAUUUCAGCGUGAAUCACAACAUUGUUGUUGCAAAUAUUCCAAUUGGGUCCUUUGUUUUUGGGUAUUUAGCAGCACUUGUUUAUCACAAAGAAGGCCAUAAUGCACACAAUGGCAAAUGCAUGGGAAUGGCUUGCUACAGAAGCACUUUUAUUUUAUGGGGUUCUUUUUGUCUUUUUGGUACAUUUCUAGCUUUGAUAUUAUACGCUCGUACACGAAAAUUCUAUUCACAAAGACAUUAACCCAAAAAAAAAAAAAAAAUACAAAAUGAAUAGAGUCUCGUAUAUAGAGAUAAUUACCUUUUAUCACGUUUAUGGCACUAAAUUAAAUAUGUAAAUGUAUUAUUGUAUGAGAAUGUACAUGUCAUCAGUGAUGUGAUUAAGAGGGCAGCAAAUACUUGAUGUGAUUUUGAUUAUGGAAGUGCCGUGUGGCUCGUGGCUUGUGGCUCGUGGCUUAACAACUAACAACCACAAAUUGAGUAUCUCUGUGUGGUAUAUAUAUGGGAUCACGCGAAGCAAAUUUGUACUCUUUGAUUCUCGAAUCAGAUAAUAAGUGUCUCCUUUUAAGUUAUAUUUAAUAUAACUUAUAAUUAUGUAAAAUUCAUUCAUUACUCCAUCCGAUUCUAUUAUUUUAUUACUCUUUUUUUUUACUGAAACUCUAGUUACAAAUUGUAAUAAAUGAAAUUUAAGAAAGUCUAAUUUUAUAUAAAUCUUCAAGAUCUGAACUCUGUUAAAAUUUAAAAAAUUAUUAAAUUAUAACAGUAUAAUAAUAUAAUACUAUUAAAUCAUAUAUUUCAAUAUCCUAGAUCAUAUUAGUGACACACACACAUAUGCAAAGUAGACAGUACUCUUGAUUCUUGAAUACGAUGAUAAUUGUGUGUGUGUGUGUGUGUGUGUGUGUGUGUGUGUGUGUGUGUGUGUGUGGUGGGGGGGGGGGGGGGGGGGGGGGGGGGGGGGGGGGGGGGGGGGGGUCACUGUCAUACUGCAAUCUAAUUAAAGACGAGAAGGAGGGCGAUAUGAUUUUGAUGUUGAGUUCACACAUCUGACAUCAUGAUAUGCUCAUGAUGACCAAUGUUGUGUCAAAUGGGUAUUGUGCAUGUAGUAGGAAAAAUUUAUAUCACAUUUUUUUUUAAGAACGUUAAACACAGGUUGUUACUGAUAUUACAUUAAAUAUUACAAUUAAUAUUUAUAAUUAUACUAUAUAAUUAAAACUUCCGUCAUACAUUGACCCACUAAAGUAUUUACUUAAAUUCUUUAAAGAGUGUGUCUAUAUACACUCUGAAAAUUACUUUGAACACUCAUAUUUUUAUAAAAAAAUUUAUUACAAAAAUACCCAUGAUAUAAAUUACUAUUAAGGACACUUUAUUAUGAGCACAUAUAAUAUUAUUACUUUACACACUCAUUUAGGGCACUGCAAUUAAUGUUUAAUUUUCUUAUUAUUUUAAAUCUUAAGUUUUUUCUUCCAAAUAUCUUAAACAAAUAUUUAUAAAGGAAACUUAAUAUGUGAAGAUUUUAACUUUAAUGAGGUAUGUGUGAUCCUUUUAAUUUUCUAAUUUACAGCACAAAUAAUCUACCUUGUUCUUCCCCUUCCAGAUGGUUAGGUAAGUGAAUUGAUUGCCGUAUGAAUUUUAUGGAGUUGAGUAUAACGGGAUGUUCAAAUAUUGAAAUUCAUAUUGAAGUAUAAUGUUAUGGCUAGCAUGCGUCUUUGUGUUCAAGUAUUGAAAUUAGUUUUGAAGUACAAUGUUAUGGCUACCAGGUCCUAAAUUCAACUAUUGAAAUUCAAUUUUGGAAUAUAAUAUUAUGGCUAGCAUGUGUCUCGUUUGUGGGUCCUGAAACUACACAAAAUAGAUUCUUAAUUUCCAGCUGAGGAGUGUGUUCUUAUGUGCAUGUGGCGUAUGUAUUCUUUUGAUGAACAAACGGUGAUCAUUACUUUAAAAUAUUUUAUAAUUUGUUAUGAUGAACAGGCGUAGUAUUUACAAUUUAUCUUACGAUUUACUUUAAAAUAUCUUAUGUGGCGUCUAUAUUCUUUUACAAUUUACUUUAAAAUAUUUUACAAUUUACUAUGAAAUAUUCAGUUGAUGAACAAGCGUCUGUAUACUGUAAUUCGUGGAGGACAUGGCUUCAACUUAAAUUUCCAAUGUUAAUUCAGAAUACGUAAUGGAUUAUACUAAUGAAUUCAUCAAUCAUAAGGUGAGUCUCAUUUUACAAUUCAUAUGUCUAAUGUUCAUUUGUUAAUAUUUAUUUAUUUAUUUUAUAUGUAGAUAUUUAAAAGUAAGGAAGAGUUAAUUAAUUGGACUCGUGAAGUUGGGAGGAAAAAUGGUUUUGUAAUCGUGAUCAAGAGAUCUAAUUCUGGUAAUGGUGCUCAAAAACCAAGGAUCGCCUUUUGUUGUGAGAGAAGUGGACAGUAUAGAAACACGAGAACAAAUGAAGAGAAUAAAAAAGAAAAGCAACCAAGGACUACUGGCACUAAGAGAUGUGGAUGUCCCUUUACAUUAAAUGGUCAUAAGUUGGACACUGAUGAUGAUUGGGUAUUAAAAGUAGUAUGUGGCGUACAUAAUCAUCCAGCUACUGAGCAUCUUGAGGGGCAUUCUUAUGCAGGAAGAUUGUCAAAAGAAGAGACUUUGUUGUUAAUUGAUAUGUCCACGAGUAUGGUGCGUCCAAAAGAUAUUUUAUUGACAUUGAAAAAGAAAAAUCCCAACAAUGUCUCAACAAUAAAGAAUAUUUAUAAUGCAUGUCAAAGGUAUAAGGUAGCAGAGAUGAGUGGGAGAUCACAAAUAAGUUAUUAAGUAAGUUAUCUGAACACAAAUAUAUUGAGUGGCAUAGAAGCUUGAUAAUACUAAUAUUGUCAAAGACUUAUUUUGGGCGCAUCCUGUCAGUAUAGACUUGUUGCAUGCAUUUCCAUGUGUCUUGCUGAUGGAUUGCACUUACAAGUGUAAUAUAUAUAAUCUUCCCCUACUACAAAUUGUGGGAGUGACAUCUACUGAGAUGACAUUUCCUGGUGCUUUAGCUUAUCUUGAAUCUGAGCGAGAAGACAACUACACAUGGGCAUUGACUAGAUUAAAAAGUGUAUUGGAUGUUAGUGCUAUGCCUAGAGUCAUUCUUAGUGAUAGAGACUUAGCUUUAAUUAAUGCCAUUGAAAGAGUAUUUCCCAAUGCAAAACAUUUGUUAUGUAGAUGGCAUAUAAAAAAAAAAAUGUAAUUGCAAAGUGCAAGAAAUUGUUCUCAACAAAAGAGAUAUGGGAGAAGUUUAUGAUGAGUUGGAAUGUAUUAGUAUUUUCUUCUAGUGAAGGUGAAUUUAUUACUCGCCUCAAUGCUCUGCAGCAAGAUUUUAUAUCCUAUCCACAAGCAAUCGAGUAUGUGACAUCUACAUGGUUGGAUAAAAUAUAAGGAAAAUUUUGUUUCAGCAUGGACAGACAAGAUCAUGCAUUUCAGAAACUUAACAACAAAUAGGUAUAAUUUUAUUUUCAUGCACCACUUCAUAGUUAGCUUAUCAAUUUAAAAUUAAUAUAUAUUAAUAAAUUUUUAAUUUUUAUUACUAGGGUGGAAAGUUCACAUUCGAGGCUUAAAAAGGAUCUUGGCACGAGUCAAGGUAAUUUUGAGACAUCUUGGACAAAGAUCCAUUCUUUAUUAGAGUUAUUACACACGAACAUCAAUGCUUCAUUUGAAAAAAGUUUGACAAUAGUACAACAUCAAUUCAAACCUCCUAAAUUUAAAGAGCUUCGAGGCUUUAUUUCUAUAGCUGCAUUGCAAAUGGUGUUAACUGAGUCAAAGCAUGUUAAUUCCAUUGGAAUUGAUGUGUCUGCAUGUGGUUGUACAAUUCGUAGUACACAUCGUUGACCUUGUGCUCAUGAGAUUGAGAUUGCAGAAUAUAAAAGGGAAAGUCAACCUAUACCUUUAGAAUGUAUUGAUUCACAUUGGAAGAAACUUGACUUGAUUCGUAAUCAUAAUAAGAGAAAGGCAGAGAUGAGUUACCGAUCGAUAUUUGACUUGAUUGCCAAACGCUUUAAUGAGAAUGAUGAUUAUACGAAGUUACAUAUUCUACAAAAGUUGACAGAAAUUGCUAAUCCUUAGUCUACAUCUCUUAUAGAACCAGAAGCUGAGAAAAAUACACGUGGUCGACCAAAUUCAAAAGCUAAUGCAUCGACCCGUCAUGACCCAUCUUCUUUUGAGAUUGUUUUAUCUGGAAAAGAAAUUUGUUCACCUACAAUUGUAUUCAUGAGACCAACAGUGAAAGUUAAUGGAAAUAAGCAUCCAAAGCAAAAGGUAUUAUUUUAAUUGUAUUAGAAUUAUUAUAUAUAUUAGCAAAAGGUAUUGUUUUAAUUGUAUUAGAAUUAUAUAUACACACACGCACAUACACUUAUUUCUUAACUAUAGUUUGUAUUUUCACAUUUUUUUUCCUCACAUUUGUUGCUAGGUGUAUAAAAAAAAAAAUCGCUCAAGUCAAAUCCAUUUGUUAAUGAAUUUCCAGUUGCAUUACAAUCAUACAUUCAUCAUAUUAAAGAUGUCGCACCUGAUGGUAAUUGUGGGUUUAGAACGAUAGCCGACUUAAUGGGUUUUGGUGAGAAUGGAUGGUUACAAGUGAGGAAAGAUAUGCUAAAUGAGUUGCAUUUGAAUAUGGAGCAUUAUAGCCAUUUAUAUAGGACAUAUGAGAGAGUCAAUAAAUUAAUUCAUGCAAUAUCAUAUUUUGAGAACUGUCCAGGAUCUGACAAAUGGAUGACAAUGCCUGACAUGGGACAUCUUAUUGCAUCAGCCUACAACGUUGUGGUAUUCCACUUAUCGAUGAAGCAAUGCCUUACCUUCCUUCCUCUUAGGUCCAACCCAAUACCUACAGAUUCUCAUAAAGAAAUUGCUAUUGGUUUUGUAAAUAACAAUCAUUUUGUAGAGGUAUUUUUUUAAUAUUUUUUUAUUUUUAUGUUGAAUUUAAUAAACAAUUCUACUAAUUGAAAUUAAUCAAACAUAUGUAGGUGUUCUUGUUACCAGGCCAUCCCAUCCCCCCUGUAGCAAUCAAUUGGCAAAGAUUUCACAGUUUUUGUGCCAAAGGAUGGGAGACGAUAUAUAAUCAUCGCAUACAACAUUUCAAGGAAAUAAUUGGUGGCGACGUAGCUACAAAAGAAGUAAUAAUAGAUGUUGACAACAAUUAUCAAUAGAUAAUUCUUUUUGGAUGAUUAAUUCUUUUUUGUAUGACUAUGAUUUGGCCAAAGGAUAUAUUGUUUAAUUGAUUUAUUUGUUUGAGUGUGUAGAGUAAUUAAGAUGAUUAAUUUAAAAAGGAUUAAGUGAGGGCUUUUUUGGCAUUUUAAAGAGUGUACAAAGUAUAAUUUAUUUUCUUAAAAUUAAUGGAUUAGUGUACAUAGUAAUAGAGUGUUCAAAGUAAUUUUUAGAGUGCAUAUAGCCCCACCUUUCUUUAAACCCUCUCUAAUAUUUGAGGGGUGCCUACUUCACUCACAUUUCGUAAGGGGUAGACUGUCUCCACUCAAUUGGCUAACAAUUGAGAGAGAAUUGAAACUAACCUCCAUAAUGCUCUUAUGGAGGCUCGAACCCGUGCACUCACUAUUAUAAGUGCAAGGCUUCUCCCAUUGGAUCAAAAGCCAAUUGAUUAUCACAUUUUUAAAUUAAAUGAGUAAACGAAAACUGUAAAUUCUAAUUUGUACAAUUUUUGAGUAUAUAAUGUGAUUAAUUGAAUAAGUCACAUGCUCUAUAUGCUUUAUUUUUCAUUAUUUAUAUCUUUAUUCAACUAAUCUUUUCUUAUACCAUGACAAUUUGUGUAAAAUAGUAAUUAAUUGCUAUCAAUAUUUUAUUUAAUUUAAAAACUUAAAAGUUUUUUACAAAACAAUUGAGACACGUUUUGAUGAUCAAUUGACAACAUUUUGGUAAUCAAUUUAUCAUUCUUGUAUAUUUUGAAGGAUAAAGUACAUCUCAUCUUAGGGAUGGCAAAAAUCCCCACGGGUACGGGUACCCUCGGGGAUUUUUCCCAUUCGGGGAGGGUAUGGAGAUAAUCUCAUACCCAAUUUCUUAUUCGGGGAAGGGACAGUGAAAUUUUUUUACCCAAUUUUUUAUUUGGGGAGGGGACAAGGAUGGGGUGGAAUAUUCAUCCCCUACCCAUUUCCCCAUUUUAAUUUUUAUUUUAUUUUUAUUUUUUAAAAUUACUAGUAAAUUUUGAAUUAUAAAAUUAUAAAUGUUGGUAAAAAUAAAAAAUAUCAAAAUAUUUAUAUUAUUAAACUUUUAAGCCUAAUUAACUAAUUAAAGUCCUAAAUUUUUAUUUAGGACAUUAAAAAGACCGGCUAGAUUAGCCCAAAAAUUUAUUUUAAUUUUAAUAUUCAUUAAAUAUUUUAAACUUAAAUCUAUUUUUUAUUUAUUUUUAGAUGUUAUAAUUGCCCACAACGAAUCACAAUUUUAAUAUCUAAUCUAAUCUAAUUUAAUAUUUGCUCUUGAUUUACUUCGACUUAACUAUUGUGUUGUAAAGGGAAUAGUCCACAUUUAUAAAGUGCCCACGCCACCAUUGAAAAAGUUAAUUUUGAAUCUAAAUUUGAUUUUAUUUGUAACAAUUUUGUAUUAGACUAUUAAUUUGUUCAUGAUAGUUGUAAAAGAAGUUUGUAUCCUUUGCAUAUUGCGUUACUUACUAAUUUAAUGUAUGUGACUUUUGUAAUGGAUAUUAAUGUAAAAUAUAUUUCAAACUUUACUUUUAUUUGAGUUUUUUAUUUUAAUAUGAUUAACUUAAAAUCGAAAAUAAAAAAAAUGUAUUAGUUAUUCGGGGAUUGGGGACCCUCAGGAAUCCUCGGGGAUCCCCUGUUAUUAUUCGGGAAGGGGAUGAAAAUUCUCUCAAGUAAUUCUGACGGAGACGGGGAGGAGACGGGGACAUACGCAAAAUAUCGAGGAUGGGUACGGAGAGAUUGGUCCCCUCCCCUCCCCUCCCCUCCCCUCCCCAUCCCAUUGCCAUCGCUAUCUCAUCCUAAAAAUUCAAUCUUGAUAAAUAAUUAACAAAGUGUUUCUCGGUAAAUUAAUUUUUAUUUAAAGAUUCGAGCAUUACUUUCCUCAUAAUGAUUAAACCAAAUUAAGUGGCUUGGGUCGACUUUUUAUACGUUAGCUUUGAGCCUCACGAACCAUCGGCUUAGGUACAGGCUUUUUUUUGGUUGAUUCCCAGUCAAGAACAAUCUUAUAUGCUCUGUUUGUGUGAAAGUGUGUACCAUGUCAUUUUUAUUGAUGUAAAUGGAAGGAUUUAGGCAGUCUAAUUAUUGGUACACCUAGCUAUAUGAUAUAAAACUAUGUAUGCCGAUAGAAUAAAUGUAACGAAUAGACUGCACUUUAACUAUUCAAUAAAAAGUAUCCACUUAUUAAGUUCAGUUUUUAAUCAUUUUUUUUUAAGUAUAAAGAGAUUGUCAAAUUAAUAUAUAUCUUUUACGCUUUUACUGUUUUCAUAAUAAUCAAUAACUUUCUGUUAUAGUAUAAUUUUACAGUAUUAUCCUUAUUUUUAAAUAUACUUUUAUUCAUAUUUAUUAUAAAUUAAAUAAAUCAUAUAAAUAGAAAUUUAAAUAAAAAAAUUAAAUGCUAAAAAUAAGCAAUAUAUAUGUUACAGUGUGAAUAAAAAAUUAACAACAAGAUAUUUUCUUAUAUUUUUAUUAUUUUUAACUAAUUUUUUAUAAUAAUAAAUAUUUUAUAUUUUCUAAAUAAAUUAUCAAGUAAAUGACUCAUUUACUCUUCUUUUUCUUAAAAAUUUUGAUGUUAAGAAAAUAUUUGAAUAUUAUGUAAAUAGUGUGAGAAUAAAUAAUAUAUAUUAAUUUCAGUUAAAUGAUGAAGUAACAAUCUCUCUUUACUACUAUAUAUUGAUAAGAUGUAGUAGUGAUCCUUGCUAUGUAUUGAAUUUGAUUAACAUUUUAGAAUAAAAUCGUGGUCUUCAUUAUGACAAGCACUCAUUACAUUUGUGUUUAAAGAGUAAUGAAUCCAAGGAGGCAAAAAUAUCGCCAUAUAUAGGGUAACACUUCGUCAUCAUGAAAUAAAAUAUAUCAAUAUCAUAAUGUCAAAUCAAUCUAUUGGCAACUAAGUGUGCGAAAUCCUUCCUUUGGUGUGAUAUGCAGAUAAAAUACUUUAACUCUUUUUUUCUUUUUUGGUUCUUCCGUGAUGUUGAAGUUUGUACAUAAAUUAAAAUUAUUUAAUUUACGUGUUAAAAAUUGUAUUUCUCUUUAAUAACGUGUUUGACCAAAUACGAGAUUAAAAAUUUUCAAAAACUCACAAUUCUACAUUAUAGGAAAGUGUUAAUAUAUAUCCUCACUUUUUUUUUUUUUUUUAUAUAUAUAGGAAAGUUCAGGAAAUUCUCUGUGGUAAGGUGUGGGUGCGAUGGUUAUAACAUCGAAAUAAAUAAAUUAAGUUUCUUAUGAAAUCAAUGAUGUAAGGGUGAUGAUUAAUGGAUUUGAUCAUGCUCAUGAGCAAAACUGGUCUUUACCCUAAAGCACAACUAAGAUGUAGAAAAUAAAUUGGAGAAAUUAAUUGGGCAAAACGGAAUAUAAUAAUUCAUUAUUAAGAUAGAUGAUUCAAAAUUCUGUCAUUUAUUCAUUCUAAUUAUACAAAUGAUUAGUUAACUUAAAAUAUGUAUAUACAUAUUACAAUUAAAAUUUAAUUAAAUUGAAAUACACUUGCUGAGAAUCAUUAAUGUUCGGCUUGAUCACGACAAAUUUGGAUCUAAUACUAUGUUGAGCUGUGCUCAAUUUAUUAUAUUUUUUUGUCACACGUACAUAUAUAGCAAUAUAUGGUUAAAGUUAAUUAAUUUAAUAUUUUUAUUAAAAAACAAUCAAUUGUAUCUUUCUAAAAAGUUAAAAAAAAAGAUCCGCUCAAUAUUGAAUCCAAAUCUAAUCACAAAACCAUAUCUCAAUUAUUUCAAUUCAAAGUAUUAGAUUAUUUAACAUUUGCCAUAUAUGGUCACUCCAGCCUUAUUAAUGCUCUCUUCGUGUAUUUGCAAAUUUUGAGAAAAUUUGAUCAUAAUUAAUCCUCUUUUUUUAAAAAAAAAAAUUGAAUUAUUAACGUUUUAAUGGAAACUUCGUGCAAAUUAACAAUUAUUGAAGCACAGUCCAAAUGUUUGAGUUCAUUGUAAGUCAAAUUAGACUCAUUUUUUGUCACUUACGUGUAAAAUCUAUUUAAGUGAUAUAGUUAAAGAGAUGGUUAUCAAAGCCAUGACCUAAACUUCAUGCGAGCAAACAAAUAUCAAUCCAGUCAUUCGGUUAACCCCUCAUGAGUAACUAACUUUUAUUUUAUUUUUGUGAACAUUUCUGCUUUAUAAUUUUGAGUUGGACUAUUGGCACCCCUCUCAUCUUCUCAUAAAACACCAUUUUUACUUAUAUUCAUUUUAUUUCCGAAAAUGCCCCUUCUUUUAGAUACACUUUUCUAAGUUCUUAAUUUUCAUUUGAUUUGAUUUAUUGUUAAAACUCAAAGUAUUGUUGUGUUAUUUUUUAAUUAUUUUUAAUUUUAUUAUUAAUCUACACACAAAUUAAAAAGUUAUAUGGGUGAUAAGUUUUUUAGUGUUAAUCAUUGGCUAAAAUAACACAUUUGUCAAAUUAUAAUUUCAAAGCAAUUUUAAGUAUAAAAAUAUUUAAUCAAUAAAAAAUCAAAAGAGAACAAUAGAUUAUUCUAAAUUUGUACAAUUUAUUUUAGCUAAAUAGGAAGUAACAUAUAUAAUUUUUUUUUUUUUUGGGAAAAGGAUUGAUUAUGAAUUAAGUAAUUUGCUGAAAAAAAUUUAUAUAUGUUUAAUUUUCAAUUGUCCUUAAUUGUAUUUUUUUUUUCAAGUGGGGUUUUGUAAGAAUAAUGUAGGGGUGCCAAUAGCUCCACUCUAUAAUUUUUCUAUAAGAUAGAUGGAUGGUGAGCAAAGUCCAAGUGAAUAUUUAACCCAUACAUUUUUUAAAAUAAAAAAUAUUAUCUGAACAUUAGUAAAAUAAUAAAAUAACAAAAACGACAACACUGUAGUAUCAUUUUGUAUGUUAUAAUAUUACUAUUACAUAAAAAAUAUUCAUAUUUUUAUUUUUAUAUUAUCUUAUUACGGUGAUCUUCCUAAAUUUAAAUUUUAUUAAUUAAUAAAAUAAAACUACUUAAAAAUCUCUUAAAAAAACUUCCUUUUGAGCACAUUUCUCUUUUACAUUUUCAUGAGGAAAAAAAAAAUCAACAAUUUCUAUCCGACCGCAUCCCAUGACAUGUAAGAAUUUGAACCAAAAAUGUGGUCUAAAUAAAUUAUGUGACACGGCACUAUGAUUAUUUUCUAACCUUCCAUUCUAGCUACAUCGAUUUUGUGGGACUUUUCUUGAGCCCACACAACAAAUGAACGGCGGAGAAUUGUUAAUGCUACUACUAUCGUUAAACCUCAAUAUUUAUUGGAGGCUUUGCCGUAAAAUUAUGAAUUUUUUUAGUGUCUUAUGUCGCUAUAUCUACCUCUUUAUUAACUUUUCAAGAUUUUCUCUUAAUCAGAUUGUGUAUUGAGUAAAAAUUCAAGUUUUACUUAGUAGUUAAUUAAAAAAAAUUAAAUCUUACUUAUAUAUUAUCAUUAAAAGAUAUAUAAUAAAAAAUUAUUAAAAAUUUAAUAGAGCACAAAUCCCGAGAGAAUCGUAUUCUCUUAUAAACAACAAUUGUUUGUUGAUUUAUUAUUAAUUGAUCAUAAAAGAAAAGAAAGACGUAAAGGAGUACGAUGAUGCCACAUAGACACUACCGAAUUAAUAAUAGUUAAUUAACAAAAUUAUUACCUUAAAUGGAAUUUAUUUUAGCCGCUUAAUUAAUGCCUUGUUAGGAAGGAUAGAUGAAAAAUUAAAUUCGGUCAACACAGACGCGCGUCCUUGAUACAUAUGCUAAUAAGCUUUUGUCAUCCUAAAUUUUGAACUUUUUUUAAUUUUUUUAUUAAAAAAAGAGAAUCCUAUUAUUGUUUUAAUUUAUAAUAUAUUAUUUUUCAAAAUUAAAAAAAAAAAAACCAAACAAGCUUAAAAGAUUAAAGAAAUGAACAAGUAGAUAGUGUCAUAUUGAGGCCACAUUCAAAAAUUGCAUGAGCGAUUCUCUACCACAUAGAUAAAAACAAAAUAGUAGCUUACAAUUAAUUAAUUGUUCCUUUAAUCUGGACAUUGAACCUUUCAAGAGGGUAUAUUGAUUAUUGAUGGGUCCAUUAAAUGAAUGAGUUUAAUGUUGUAUCUCUAUCUGUGAUUGCUAGCUAUCUAGGUGAAGGUUACCAAAUUAAUUUUUGAUCGUCUUCCAUACGUAGCAAAUAGAUUUUGAUGGCUAAUUAAUUGUGGGUCCCCUAAAUGGGGUUGAAGUUGGGAAAUAAGAAUGCGCUUGAGAUUGAGGUUGGACAGUUGUAUAACACUAAAAUAUUUAGUAAACACUAACUGCUGUAUCUUGUAAACUAUGUUGAUAUGAUUUUUCAUUUGUAUAAUGAAAAAUCUAUUAUAACUUUAAUAAUUUUGUCAAAAUUAUUAUUUAAAAUUUAUAUUUACUACAUAUUAUUAAUUUUUGUUUGAUAGUUACAAUUUUUUUUUCACAGCAAGUAUAAGUUAAAAGUUACACCACUUUAAUUCCAAACGAGACCUAAAUUAAGGUAAUCUAUGAAUACAUUUACUGUAUAUAAUAACAACUUUGUUUAACAUUAACUAUACGAUAUAUAAUUUUUUAAGACUUUAAUAAAAUCUAAGAUCUUAAAUUAGAUAAGUACUCCAUAUAUAUAUAUAUAUAUGAGUCUUGCUUCCACAGUAGUGAUCAAGGCAUUCUCAAAUGUUUGCCAUCUUGUGUCCAGGAUGGCAACAAAACACGUAACAUCUUUUCCAGCCAGGAAUAAUGGUUGUAAUCCUAUCCCAUGCCUUAUGUCGAAUGGUUUGACUUCAAUUGGCCUUGUGUACUUGUGGUUGUAGAAGCCUUCUCCACUUGCUGAACUGGUCUGAUUUAUAGCCGUAGACUCUUCUGUUUCCCUUGGAUUCCUCUAUCAACAGUGCUCCCCAAUAAUGGUCACUAGCAUCUGUCUGUAAGAAGAGCUGUCUAUUGUCAUGUAUCUUCAAUGGCGAAAGUGAUUGACACUUUUGUUUUAGUUCCAUCACUGCUUUUGUCGCUUCUUAUACAUAUAUACACACACACACACACACACACACACAUACAUGGGCUACUUCUAUCUUAUCAGAGCGCUCACUAAUACCUUCUAUCUUAUGGCCUGCGCUUGGCAAUAGGCCAAUUCAAGCUUGAGCUUGGUCAAGAUCUAGCCUAACACUGUGACUAAAAUGAAGCACCUUGUUCUUUAAAAAGCUCGACCCUUCAAACUAAGGGUCAUGUUUGGGAGCUGAUGAUAAUUUUUUUUUUACAUUUUUUUUAUUUUUAGAUUCUUUUUUAGAAUAAGACUCUAAUGCUUAUUUUUCUAAUUAAUAAUAUUGUAUUAUUAUUGUUCCAUUUUUACAAUAAAUUUGGUUGCAAAGAAUUUAAUAAAUUAUUUUUUAUUUAGCUUUGACAACAAUACUACAUGCAACAAUAUAAUCAAAUUAACAAGUAAAAUAAAUUAAAUAUAAAAUACUAAAUUAAUACAUAAUAGAGGUAACUGUUAGUAGAUUUUGAGUUGUGAUCACACGUGUCGUGAAAGUAUUUUAAGUGUUUCAUUCUUCUAAUUUUAAAAGUUAAUUUAAAUGUAAUCAGAGUGUAAUCGAUUGACCGGAAUGUAAUCAAACUUGAUCCUUAAGCCUUGACUCAACUCUUGACCCCUUAAAUUCAGGCCAAAAAACCUAAAAAUUAAAGUCGGAUUAAUUGAGCUAAGGACUGGGGUCAAUUCUUUUUGCCAACCUACCAUAACCUAUAAAUAAACAUUUCAAAAUUGAUUUUCAUCAGGACAGUGAAGUAGCGUGGGCAAAUUUUAUUUACCAAAAAUAAUUUCAGCUUUUUACUUGAGCAUUUUCAUUUAAUUUUUGUGUCUAAUGCACUCAUUUGACGCAAUUUUAUUGAUGAAAAAUGAAAUCUUUGUCCUAACGGUUUGUAAUUUAUUCAAAGUCUAUGGGGCACAAGUAAAAAAUUUUACCAUAAGGCAAAUAAAAAAUUCACUUGAAAUUAUAAAAAACAAUGUUGUUAAAAAAAUUAUACUCGGUGUAGACACCAUAAUACAAUUACACCAUCGAACUACUAAUGAAGAAUAGUUACACCUUGUGUAUGUAAAUGCAACAACAAUUAAUAAGAUUAAAAAAUAGGAACACAUGCUCGAUUUGCACAUUUCAAUAUAAUUAAAUCUCUCCCUAACUGGAACUCACUUAUGACGGAUAAUCUUGAUAAAUUUUUAAUCAUAAAUAUCAGUAGAAUUCUAAUUAUAAAAUAUCAACAUAUAAAAAUUAAAAGGAAAAAAAAACUCCCUUUCGAACGUUUUCUCGGCCUCCAGAUUCUGUUAGAUUUUCUGCCCUUAAUUAAUUAGAACUUAAGAAAUAAUAAUAACUGUACAAAUGCCAUCAAGCUUAUUAAGAUUACAACAACAUUCUUAACUAACCAUCAAUCAUCAGCUAAACCCAUAUUGCAUGAAUCACACGAAGCACAGGUAGCAAAAAUGGCACUGUUGUGGCAACUCCAAGUCGAAUUAGCAGAUGUACCGUGUUGUCAAUUAUCAAUGACUAAAUGAAAGAAGAAGUUAGCUCACCAAAUUUUGCCCCAGUCUGCGAGCAACAAGUGAGGGAGCAACUUAUUACACCAAAUAGGGGUUUCGCCUAAUUCAACAAUAGUCAGAACAUAGAGCUGUAAACAGCUAUUCAAUUCAUUUUUUGCAUUUGUGUUGGUCAAAGAAGAAAAAUCAGAGGUAAUCAAACAAAAGAAAAGCCAAUUGAGGGAGCAACUUACCAGGUUUUCAUUGAGUUAUACACUUAUGGCUGAUUCAACAAUGGUUUUACUUUCAAACCUUUUUUCCUUCCACAACUGCCAAGCGUUUCGGACUUCAUCCAGCUGCUCAUUUGGAAUGCUUGUGAACUUCUCCAAAUUCUCAAUCCAUUCCGUCCAUGGAGAUUUUGUUGCAUCCAAGAAUUUUGAAACUUCAGGAAGCGUCACAGAUGUGUAGAACUCAUCAACCAUCUUCAGGAUUUCCUCUGAUUCAACCAUUGUCUGCAUUUCCGGUCUGGUCACACCAGGCCUUGUUCUCACAGAAAAACUGUUUGCCCUCAAAAACAAAACUUCAGAUGGAGCCAAGGGUAGGACAAUGCGAGAGUGCUUUGCCAGAGAUAAUGUCAGAAUAUCUCGUGGGAGUAACUUGCGCUUCACUGCCACAGCAGUCCCAACCAUUUUGCGGAUCUGGUGAGCACAUAUACAUCAGCAUUAAGGUCAGAGAUUAAUGGUCAAACGAAUAGUUAAAAGUACAGACUAUGAAAUCAUAUUUACUAAAGCAAUUCUUGAAUAAGCUUGCCUGAUGCAACAUGAAGGAUUCUCCCGAUAUGGAAAUUUCAACAUAACCAAAUCCAAGUGAUUUCUCCAGCUUCCCACAAGAACAGCUAAAAAUCUUUCGGAAGUGGGAUGCACUAAGUUUAUCUGCCUCAUCAGUUUCAUACAACCAUCUUGCACGAAUGACUGAACUCGAGUUUUGAUCUUUCAAACCAUUAGCAUGCUGAUUGCAGCAGUCUUCUUGGUGCACUCCAGACACCAUAGAAUUUUGAUUUGCUUUCUCAUCAUCUGAUGAAAUUUCUCCUCCAAUCCCUAAAUCUUCUUCUCCAUCACUUUCUUCAACCUUAGAAAACCCAUCUUCUUCUCCCUCACUUUCUUCAACCCUGGAGAACACUGCAUCCUUCGAUGCUUUUGCUCUUUUUGACACACGUCCAGUCUUAUGGGGUUUUCUCCUGUACUUGGAUCGUUCUGUAUAAUUAUGGAAAGGAUGUUCUCCCUAUUCAAAGGGUUAACCCCAAACAAAAAAAAAGAAAAAAGAACAAGCCAUCUUCAGCUGCAUGAAACCGAUUGUAAAGUUACCACUCAACCCAAAAGCUUUAACAGUGAACCAACUAAAAACAUAGCUUUUCAUAAUUAAAAUUUCUAUGCUAGGAAGAAUUGAAUAUAAGACAACUUUGCUAACUUAGCUUUAAUACCAUGUAGAACAAGCUUAGAGUUGAAAUGCUUAUGCUUCUACACACAAAAGCAACAAAGAACAUGCAUAAGUUAGAGAAAGCCAGCAUCCUAACAGGGCUUUUAAAGAUGGAAAUGUGAGAAAUCUACUGAAUCAACAACAAAUACCACACUUAUGUUUGGAGCACAAAAGUUAUUGUUUGUCUCAAAAACUGUGAAUAACCAAAUGUCCGAAUCACGUCAGAAAAUCUGAACCUGAAAUACCUGCUACAACCACAUUGAAAUUCUGUCAACGAUAUAAAGAAAGAUUCCAGAGCGAAUUUUGAUUCGACGUAAUUGGAAAAUGCUAGGCCUACUGGGAUCUUAUAAGAAUCAGUUAUGGUAGUCUAAAGUGACUGGCCAAAAAGGUCUUGACUGUUUAGUUCCAUGAGCCAUUGUUCUGGUUAACAUUUUCGAGAAAUCUGUUUCCGCUGUAUUAAAACUAUAUGUAGGCAUGAAAGUUAUUCUUUGAGCCAUGAAUGAAACAAUUAAAAAAAAGUUCAGCUUUCUAAACUAUGUGACUGUAAGAUGCAAAUCAUGCAACGUGUGAUGCCAAAGGGGAAAUUAAGACUCUAUUUGCGGUUGUGGUUUGGCAGCAAAGCUGCUUUUGAUGCAAAGCAGAUUUUACCCCACACUCCCACAGCUGUUGAUGAAACACCUAAAUUAGCCUUAAUAAUUUAUAAAAAUAAUUACUUUUUAUUUAUUUUAUUAUUAUUUCUACUUAUUAUAGAAAUAAAUUAUUAAACACUAAACCCAAAAGCAACAGCUAUCACUAGCGUCCACCACAGACCAUUGCCACCCACUGGUUGUACAUAUCCCUUGAAGUUACUGUUGGUACCGUUGAAAUCAUCAUCUCAUUUACAAAACGGUAUAAACAUCAUAAGCGAUUGAUAAUCAUUCACCGGCAAAUGGCGAUAUAAGCGUUGGUCACCAUAUAAAGCCACCUUUAACCACAACAAUAUGUACUACACUGCCCGUACAGAUUUAAAAAGUAGAUGCUGCUUAGUAGAAGGUGUUGCUUUCUCGCUCGCUGUCAUCAAACUGCAGCAUGAUUGGUUGUUUGACUUUGUAUCCCCAUUUCUCAGCAAACGAGUCCUCAAAGAUUGAUAAUAUCAUAUCAUUGUGGUAAGCGAGAGAUAAGGUUCCAACAGUACCGACAAUGAAAAUUAUGAUAUUUAUUAAAAUUAAAGAAGAAUAUUGUGCAUUGUACAAAUUAUGAUAUUUAAUAAAUAAUAUGAAUAUUGUGCAUAAGAUAAAUUUUUUGAUAUAUAAUAAAUAUAAUAAUAUAAAUUGUUUUUGAAGUUGCAAAAUUUACCAACUUCAAAAGCUGUGUUUACCAAACACCUAUCGACACAACUUGUGCUCUCUUUUCAUAGCACCAUGAACCUGAAUGGAACCUAAGUGACUAAGUGUGAUGCCUAAAUCAUCAUCCUUUAUAUACAACUUAUUUCACAACAUCCUCUAUACCUUAAUUAGUAGCCACAUUCAGUCCUAAAUUCUUUUCAAAUCUUCCAUUCUACACAAAAAUUCCUACUCAUAAAUCUCUAACCAAUCACAGAAAAAGAAAAAAUUGUAAUUUUGUCCCACAUCAAUAUGCUCCUCUAGCAUAGGCUGAGAUUCAUGAUGCCAUUUCAAAUCUUCAAGAAAGCAACUUAGUCAAGUAGCAGCCAGAAAUAAUUUAAAAAAUUAGAGACGAUGAGCAGAAAAAAUGAGUAGAAGACUACAAUGCCACACCUCGAAUUCAUUUAAUAUAGCAUUAAAGUCUGAUAUAUGACUAUCGAUUUCAGCUGCUGUAAGCUGACUAUUGAUUCCAAUGACCUCAGCAGGAAGAAGGUAUGAAUAUUUCCGGAGAUUACACUCCCUUCUAGGAUCAAAGCUCCUAAAAGGAGAUACCACAAAAUUGAAUAUUAGUAACAACAGCUUAGACCAGUGAAAUUAGUAUUCAUAAAAAAUUCAGUAGACUUAUCAGAAGUCUUUGUUCAGAGAAAAAAUGCAUAGAUGGGUUAAGAUCUAAGACCAAUCAAAACAACAUUGUCCUUUGUCUAACAAACUAUUAAAAUGUUUUGGAUCAUUGGAGUUUUCUUUAUGGUCUUUUGUUGCAUGGGAAAAACUUUUUGUAAGCUUAGAAUCACGAAAAAGGAAAAUUGUCAAUCUGGAACUUAUAAAAGGUCGAUAAUGAAGAUAACUAAUAACUGAGAAAAAAAAACUAAACAAGGGAAUAAGGAAGUUUCAUGCACAUAAUUAUAACUACAUAAUCAGAGAAGAAGAAGAAAAGAAUUCAUUCAGUUUGGAAAUCAUAAGUAAAACAACAAACUCAAGGUCUCACCUCUGUGAAGGUAAAAUGCUGAAAACUUUGAUAUUUCUUGGAAGAUGAGCAUUAACGCGUUUAGCAAGAUCAAUGCCAUAGGGGUCAUCCUUCCAUGCAUCUGGAGGAAUUUCCAUUUUGAGGCAUAUCAUGGUUGCCAAGGAGUGAACCUAUAUUAUUUUGCACAAUGAUUUGAAACCAAGAACAAUAAGAAAAUGGUACAUUCCAAGGCACAUGCAAUAAGGGAACAUUCCAAAUCCAAAUGUAACUCACUCCUUUAUCUGUUCGGCUACUUCUAGCCCACGCAAUUUUCUGCAAAUUUCCGUAGUUACUCUCACGGAUCCCACCAGCCUUAAAAAGUGCAGUUUCCAAUUCCCCUUCAAUAGCUACAUUCCAAAAAUGCAAUGCUUUAACAAGAUCCAUCGAUGCUAGUGGACCCAAACACAUGACAUGAUCAAUGCCUUUAAAAGAAGUAAGAAAACCAGUCUUCAAAAUUCAAAAUAACUAAUUGUAUCAUCUCAUCAUUAGAAAAUGCAAGAAACCUAUGGGAUUAUAAGAUCUGGAUCAGUGUUUUUGUCUAUUCUCGCAUAAGGACAUAGUUUACCCAUUUGUUCAAAAAGCUCCCUGCCCCUACUGCAAUGACUGAAAUCAAAAUUCAAUAUAACAGGAAUAAUUUGGUCAUUUCAGCAAUGCUGAGAGACUUUUUGGGUAAAAAUCGACAUGUAUGCCCUUUAUCUUGUAAAACACAAGGAAUUUUAAAAAAAAAAAAGGUACACAAAUUUAAUUCAGAAAUUUACCAAUUAAGUGUCUUAUAUAGAAUCAUUGUCAAAAUUAGCUAUAUAACAAAAUUUCUUACUAUAAUAGCAACAUACAGUCAACUUGAACUAAAUUAUCCUUAAAACAAACCAACCAAACCCAACCAACUUGCAACUUGCGGUCGAUGGAGACCAUUGCCCGCAUGAAGUGAGGAACUCUUGCGGACAAUGGAAACCAUUGCCCGCGUGACAUGCGGGUGAUGGCUACUAUCGCCCGGAGAUCAUCACCCGCCAAAGUUGAACAACUCUUGCCCACCUCUUGCAGGCGUCGCCCCACACCUUGGGUGAUGGCAACCAUCGCCUGUGUCAAAAAGAUUUGGUUGGAUUGUUUUAAGGGCAUUUUGGUACAGAUUGGCUGUAUGUGACUACUAUCGUAGAAAUUAUGUUAUAUGGCUAGUUUUGAUAAUGUAUUCAUGAAAAUGACUAGAUAAGUAAAAUUUUCAAUUUAAUUAAUGCUCGAACAUUUUCAAAAUCAAAUAAAGAGUUAAAUAUUGUAGAAGCUUACUGGAUAACGAAUGCUCAUCUCGCUGCAUUUGCAGACCUGAAAUGCAACAACAAUAAUAAUAAUAAUAAUAAUAACAACGAUAAAAAGAGACCACUUUUAUUCAAAAUCCAAAAUUAAAAUAGAAAAGAUGAAAUUUAUUGACCUCUGUAAUCGGUGCCAACGUAACCGACGCGCAAGGCGACUUUCUUUUUGCGGACAGGUUCCCAUUUGUCGUCGGAGGAGUUUGGAGUGGGACGAGUCAAAGUACGAGAAACGGACGGUGAAGAUUUAGAUGAAGAUGAAGCGGGACAGCGGUAGCAAGAUAAAGGUAGGAGAUUGACGGCUGAGAUUUUAUUUGAGAAUCCGACGGUGGAAAGUGUCGAAGUUAUGCUCCUGGCAGACCACGGAGAGUGCAGGAGUCGAAGUGGGUAGAUGGCCAUGGAGUUUUAGAACGAGGGCAAUUUUGUUAAUUUGAUUGGAUAUGUUUUACAUACGUAUUAUUACGUCUGGAUGUUUCUAUCGAGUGCCGAGUGCGGGAACGUGAAAGACUGCCACAUGAAUAGGGCUGGCCACGGUCGGGUUGGCGCUCGACCCAUUUCAGUGAAAAGCUCAACGCAACCCGAUUCGAAGUUUAAAUUUUAACCGAUGCGGUGCCCAUUAAAAUUUAUCAUUAUGGUAAAAAAGUGAUAAAAUUUAAUAGUUGAUGUAUCAUCAUUCAUUUGUAAUAUGCCCAUCACUAUUCGAUUUCAUUUUCAUUGAAUCAAUUGUAUAAUUUUCUAAAAUAUAUUAAUUGAUUUUCUGAAAAAAGAAUUUUAGCAAUGCUUUUGGACGAUAAAUUUUUCGCAACAAAAACAUACCAAGUUCUGUAUAAUUAACUAUCGUAAGAUCAAAUUUCCAACCUAUUUUUUUUCUCUCUCUCUCUCUACUUUUCAAUUUUAUGCUGUCAAAAGAGAGCUCUCUAUUGUUUUUUUCUUAGUGGUACUUUCUUAUAGUCUUUUCCUUUUUAUUUUGUACCUUAUUCUGUCCUUUGACUAUGUGAAAUAGGUAUUUUCAUGGAGUUAGAUCCAUGUAGACAACGAUUUGUGGUGGCUGUAGUUUUUUAUUGUUGUUGUUUGACAUUAAGGUUUUUUUUUUCUUUUUUUUUUUGUUUAAAGAUUAGAGCUUCCAAGCUUCAAAAUGUGGAAAGAUAAAACAUGUAGAUUGGUCACCAAUAGAGAUCUACUACCUCUAUUAGUUGGUAGAGCUAAUGCUAGAGGCAAAGUCUCUUAAAAGGGCUAAGAAAUAUUGUUAGUGCAAGUUACUUUAAUUUAAGAGUAUUAUUAUAGUUAUGAACUCUUGUACAAAUUUAUUUAGUAUAAAUUAAUGUGACAUGAUAUAAUUGGUUGAAUUAAAUAUCUCUUGGCCCACAUUAUUUAUUUUUAUUAUUUUAUAUUUUCAUUCAACUAAUGAAUUAAUGUCAAAUCAGUUUGUACAAGAUAAGUUUAUAUAAGAAUUUGUGGUUAUAUCAUAACUCUUAAUUUAAUAUAUUGUGUGCAUGUUUAAUGGAGAUAUUUGUUUUUGAUAUUUAAUUGCUCAGUUGUUAGUAUUUUAACCAUUUGUGUAUUGCUAAUUGCUCAAUCUCUAUAAUUUUCUUUUCUUAUUUUCUCUUGUUAAAAGUAUGGAAAAGCUAUUCAGAGAGCGAUUUCAACUAUCCAAGCGGCGGAUGAACCUUUCUCAAUUUGCUUACUUUUUUGGUUUUGGAUAUGGAACCAAUGUUGUUUGUUGCCAAUGAAGAAAUUUGAUCUACUUGUUUUUAAAAGUAUAAAUUGUGAGUUUUCCCCCUUUUUAAGAUCAUUUAAUUGUUUUCUCACAUGAAAUUUAUAAAAGAUUUGUACCUUGCAAAGUGAAAGAGUUUACGAAGAUAAAAAUUAUUUUUACUUUUUAAUAAUUUUGUACAUUGACAAAAUUGAAAUUAUUAUAAAGUGAUUAAUGAGUCUACUGAGAUAAAAUAAGACGGUCAAAUAUCACUACUCUUUUUUUUUAUUAUUAUUGAAAUUGAAUUCUCCGUGUGUGCAGCCGACACUUGCUUUGACACCACACGACUCGUAUGACAAAUGGGGAUAUGUUGCAUCGGCCCAAUACGGGAUGCUGGGAUGUUGGCCAUCCUGAGAGUUAACAAACAAUCAACAUUAAUCUAUGAGGGGCUAUUUUUUUUUAAUAUUUGAAAAUAAUUUUACAUGAUUGUAAAAUAGUGCUUCUAUCAUUUUUUUUUUCAGAAGAAAGAAAUUGCAGUAAUACAAACUUGUACAACACAACAAUAAUGAUUAUAUUGACCUUAACGGUUUUUUAAACCUUAAUAUUAAUGAUAACAAACAAUAUGGUAAUUAAUGAUAACAAACAAUAUGGUAAGGAUUCAGUAGUUCUUAAAGGUCAAAAGUUAUUCAUGUGAGAUCAAGCUCAAAGAAAUUUGUGCUCAUCAAGUCAAGACUCAAAUGUGAAGAACACUAAAUUAGGUGAUGUUUCACUUUCAUAGUUCUUGUAAAACUAGUUUGGCUACAUUCAUGCGUGGUUAAGCAUUUAAAAGCUCAAGUUGAUAAUGAUCGUGACAUUCAAAUGUUUUCCAUAAGCUAUGUUUUCUAUAUUUGAAGAAAAAUGGAAGAUAAAUGUUUUAUCAAAAUGAAUUAAGUAUAUAGAUUGAUUUGAAAAAGUCUAGAAAAGUUUUGAUGGGUGGAAAAGUACAAAAAAUUUAUGCGAUCUUAAUGCUAUUUCUAAAAAUCUAAAAAAGGACCUAUAUAAUAACGUUUCAAAAGUUUUUAGGUACUUUUGUAAUUAUUAAAAAGUUUAGGUCAAAAUAUAAAUAAUGAGAAAAGCCCAAAGUGGUUAGGUAGUUUGCUUUCUAGAGGCAAAUCGGCAUGCCGAUUUUGAAUUUUAUGUUCUUAAUUGCUAGUUUUUGCUUAUAUUUAUAUAAACGAAUUUUUGUAACCGUUAGAAUGUGGGUUAAGCACAACAAUCUCUCUAUUCUCUCAACUAUAAAAUACUCGAGUUUUCACUUGCUUUCAUUCAUAAUCAUAUACAAACUUGCUUUAGAUUUGAAUAUCUACUCUUGUCAUGAGUAUAUUAUUUGUAAAAUUAAUUUCUUUCAUAUUGAGUGAGUGUUGUGAGGCACUUGAGUGUAAGAGUUGUGGGAUAUAAACCUUUGAUGAUUUGUAAAGGUAUAUUGACAUCGUGAAAACAAUUGUAAUAUUUGGAGUCUCAUGAUAUAAGUGUAUGUUCUUUUUUACCUUGUCUUUUAAUUUACUUGAUUGUAAUUAUUGUUGUUGUUGAGUGGUGGUAGUUGCUGGUGUUGAAUUGUGGUGUUAUUACUGAUGUAAUUUUUAAAACACAAUUCACCUCCUUUUAGAUUGUUUAGCAAGAAUUUCAUAUUAGAUGAUAAUAGCACAUGAAACAUAUAAUUUUUUUUUAUUUUAUAUAUUUUUUAUUUAAUCGGUAGAAUUAUGCCACAUUAAUUUAUAUAAAUAGUUUAUUUGAAAAGUUGGUGCAUCAACAAUACUCUUACUCAAUUGUAAGAGCUCACAAACAAAACCAUGCAUAUGUCUAGUACUAGGUACUUUCUCAUCUUAUUCUUAAAAGUUAAAUGAUUGAGUACUCUAAUGCGCAUUGUAAAGAAUAAUUUUUUUUUCAAAUAUUGAGAAAUAAAUUUUAUUUAUUUUAUAUCUUAAGGGUGCAUUUCGGAUAGCUGCAUUGUCAGAACAUAGUUGCUCCACUCAAUACAACUACCCUAAGGCACUUUAAAUAUCUAAAUUGGGUCAUUAUAUAGUCUCGAGGAGGAUGGCAAUGGAUAUUUCCUAAUCGGGUUUAUCAUUACCAAACCCACAUCCACAAAAAAGUUAAAUUAUCAAUCCCACCCACAACUUGUUGCGGGGUUUUGGUUUUUUUAAAAAAUCUGUUAGUUGCGGAUUUUAACAAUUACCAAAUUCACAUGUAACCCAUAACGAGUUUUGCCUGCACCCUACAGCGGCCACAGUAGCAACAUAUUUAUUUCAAAUCAUAACACCAUAUCUAGAAUUAUAAUACCACAUCCAAAAUAUUAAAUUUAUCUAAUUAUUUUUAUAAAGUAUACUUUUUCUAAUGCAUACAAAUAUGCAAUUAAAUCUACAUAGGUUAUGCUUGAGUUUUCUAUUAGAUUUCUAGCUAAGUUUAGGUAGAUUUUUAGCCAAAUCCGACAAAUUUAAGAUAGACUAAUUUCGAUAUGAAUCAAGCUAGCAACAAAAAUUAUGUAUUUUUAUAAUUAAAUACUUUUAUAAUUAAGAAGAUUAGGUUAGGUCUCGAGCAACAAAUGGCUAUUAAUAACUUGGUCUAUGAAUUUUUGUAAUUAAAUAUUUUUUAAUGUAAUUUUAAACAAUAAAAUUAUCUACGGCAGAUGAUUUUUAAAUGGAAGGACUUAGAUAAAUUUGUGGGUUUACGAGUACCGUAACAAUCCCGUCUCGAGUAGACUAAAAAUCUGGAGAGAAAUUUAGCCUAUAUAAACAGACUUCAAAUAAAACGGUCCAAAACUUGCAAAGGCCCAAUUUGAUAAAACAUUGGGGAAUUCUUAUCUCACCAGUCCUCUUGUCCUCUUCUUGACACGCACGCUAUCUCAUUGUUUCAACUCUCCCUUCCUAUCUUCCUCUUCUCUUUCUUCUUCCUUUAUUUCUUCGUUAAACCCUAUUACCCCUACACACACACACACUCACUCACUCCCACUCCCUCUCUCAUCUCACCAAAACGACAUCGUCAGAGGGAGGCAGCCAGCAAUCAUGAACAACUCUU
rnacentral:lncRNA from 1 species